rnacentral:lncRNA from 1 species
GUUCUGAAAACAAAGAAGUUCGUGUUGUUGUUGGAUGAUAUUUGGGAGCGACUUGAUCUGCUAGAAAUGGGGGUCCCGCAUCCCGAUGCUCGAAACAAGUCCAAGAUAAUUUUCACGACCCGGUCACAAGACGUGUGCCACCAGAUGAAAGCUCAGAAGAGCAUAGAAGUGAUGUGUUUGUCAUCAGAAGCGGCUUGGACUUUGUUUCAGAAGGAGGUAGGAGAAGAAACAUUAAAGUCUCAUCCACAUAUACCGAGGCUUGCAAAGAUUGUUGCUGAAGAGUGCAAAGGUUUACCUCUGGCUUUGAUUACUCUUGGGCGAGCUUUGGCAGGUGAGAAAGAUCCCUCAAAUUGGGACAAGGUAAUACAAGAUUUGGGCAAAUUUCCAGCUGAAAUUUCGGGUAUGGAAGAUGAAUUGUUUCAUAGAUUAAAAGUCAGUUAUGAUAGAUUAUCUGAUAAUUUCAUCAAAUCUUGUUUUACAUAUUGGUCCUUAUUCUCUGAAGAUCGGGAGAUUUAUAAUGAAAACCUUAUAGAAUAUUGGAUAGGAGAGGGGUUUUUGGGUGAAGUUCAUGACAUACAUGAAGCGCGUAAUCAAGGCCAUAAAAUUAUUAAAAAACUAAAGCAUGCAUGUUUAUUAGAGAGUGGCGGUUUAAGAGAAACAAGAGUUAAGAUGCAUGAUGUGAUCCACGACAUGGCUUUGUGGUUAUAUUGUGAAUGUGGGAAGGAAAAGAACAAAAUUUUAGUAUACAAUAAUGUUUCUAGACUGAAGGAAGCUCAAGAAAUUUCAGAAUUAAAAAAAACGGAGAAGAUGUCAUUAUGGGAUCAGAAUGUUGAGUUCCCUGAAACAUUGAUGUGUCCCAAUCUCAAGACUCUAUUUGUGGACAAAUGUCAUAAGUUGACGAAAUUUCCAAGUAGAUUCUUUCAAUUCAUGCCUCUAAUAAGAGUUUUGGAUUUGUCAGCCAAUUAUAAUUUAAGUGAGUUACCUACUAGUAUUGGUGAAUUGAAUGACUUGAGAUAUCUUAAUUUGACAUCCACAAGAAUAAGAGAGUUGCCCAUUGAGCUAAAAAAUUUGAAAAAUUUGAUGAUUCUGCGUCUAGAUCAUUUGCAAUCCCUUGAAACUAUCCCACAAGACCUCAUAUCAAAUCUCACAUCUUUAAAGUUGUUCAGCAUGUGGAAUACCAAUAUUUUCAGUGGAGUUGAAACCUUGCUUGAGGAGUUGGAGUCCUUGAAUAACAUCAAUGAGAUAGGAAUCACCAUAUCUAGUGCUCUUUCAUUGAACAAAUUAAAGAGAAGCCACAAAUUACAGAGGUGUAUAAGGCAUCUACAGUUACAUAAAUGGGGGGAUGUAAUCACACUUGAACUAUCAUCUUUGUUUUUAAAAAGAAUGGAGCAUUUGAUUGACCUUGAAGUAGACCAUUGUGAUGAUGUGAAAGUAAGUAUGGAAAGAGAAAUGAAACAAAAUGAUGUUAUUGGUCUCUCAAACUACAAUGUUGCAAGGGAGCAAUACAUUUACAGCCUCCGUUACAUAGGAAUAAAAAAUUGUUCAAAAUUGUUAGACUUAACAUGGGUUAUUUAUGCUUCAUGUCUAGAAGAACUUUAUGUUGAAGAUUGUGAAUCAAUAGAACUAGUACUACACCAUGAUCAUGGAGCUUAUGAAAUUGUGGAAAAAUUGGACAUAUUCUCAAGGCUCAAAUGCCUCAAGCUCAAUAGACUGCCAAGAUUGAAGAGCAUCUACCAGCAUCCUCUGCUCUUUCCCUCGCUUGAAAUCAUCAAGGUGUAUGAUUGCAAAAGCUUAAGGAGCCUCCCAUUUGAUUCCAACACUUCGAACAACAAUCUUAAGAAAAUUAAAGGAGGGACAAAUUGGUGGAAUCGGUUGAAGUGGAAAGAUGAAACCAUCAAGGACUGUUUUACUCCUUACUUCCAAGUCCAUGAGGCUGAAGCAUAUUUUGCAGAAGAGUUUGAAACUGGCAGCAUAGAUGAUGAUAUGCAGGAACAGCUGGUAUCAAAUUAAUUUCUAUCCAUCUUUCAGGUAUUAAUUAACUUUUAUGUUAUAUUUGAAAAAUACUUUUCUUUCCUUAUUCAUUCUUUUGUGGAAAUUUUUACUUUACCUAUGUCAAAAGUGCAUCAAAGUUUCAAACAUCAUAAUAACUUUCAAUGUUUGAUCUGUAUAGAUUACUUCCAUAAUUUUCAGCCUAGUCCUAAUAACUUUCAAUCUAUUUUUUUCCCUUUUAUUUUCUUUCUCUUCUAUGUUGCUUUGAAUCUUUUGAGAUCCAAACAAAGCCAAAUCUACACCCUUCCAAGAUCUUGGAUGGGUAAUUCAAUUCUAGUUGUUCCUUGUGAAAUAAUUGUUAUAAAAGGUUCACCCAGAUGGCACUUUGAAGGAGGUCUAUUGUUUAAAAAUGGGAUGACAUUCCCUGUUGGUUACUUGAGAACUUGAAAAUAAUUCAGAGUUUUAAACUAUAUUAUUUAUUUGUCUUAAUUUUUUUGAUCAAUUUCAAUCUAUAAACAGAAACAGAUCAACUUCUUUUCAUCUUAGUUCCAUAUAUUUCAAGCUGAACAACAGGGUUUCACAACUACUAUAUCUAUAGAUAUUCCAUUAAAGAAUUAUUGCCUUGUUAAGUUACAAGGGUAUUUUAUCUUCUAUUGUUAAGUUACCUCUAUCUGGUUGGCUCUGAUCACUUUUUGCUUUUCUAUUUUCUUUUUUUCAUUUCUCUUUUUGUUGCAUUCAGGGUUCGGGUUGGUUCUAGCAGUUCUGGCAACAGCCGGGUUUUCAUUUCUUUAUAUAUAGACUGCGUUGCUGCCGUUUUUGCUGAUUGGAGAUGUCCUGCUCUUUUUCCUUCUACUUGGAAUCUGGGUUUGGUCUGAGGUCUCUGGUAUGUUUCAUCAGGGAUGCGCAAAUGCUGAUUCUCAGAGCAUUGAUAUUUCAUGGUGCUGAGACUGCUGGAAAGGUUGGUGUACUUAUGUGAUGGUUGCAGCAUCCUUUUUGUUUCUGGAUCUCAGGAAUUGGAUUCUGUGGGCUGCCUUUGGCUUUUGAUGUUGGGUGGGUUUUGUUUUGUUAAUUUGUUGAGGCCGGUGCAGUGUGGUGGGUCUGAAGCUGCUGCUGGGUCAAUGCGGAUGUGAUAUGGGAAUGCUUUUGGAUCUUUGGGCUUCAGCAGGUUGAUUAUGUUUCCUCUGCUUACAAAUGUUUUAUCACCAGAUCCUAUGUGGGGAUGGGAUGGAUUGUUGUGAUAGUGAUGGUGUGGGUUUUGUUUUGUUUAUUUGUUGAGGCUGGUGCAUGUUUUAUCACCAGAGCACCGCUUAUUUCCUUGAGUUUGAUAUCCCACUGUCAAGUGUAUUGUCCAUAAUGUUAUGGUGUGUGUGUGUGUGUGGAUUGGAAUGUUUUGUGAGAACAACUGGUUGAUUUUAACAUUUGAGGUUGUUAAUGGUGAUUUUUCUUAUUAUGAUGAACAAGGUGGAAGUAUAAGCAGAGUUCUGAGGACUCAAACAACAACAUAGACUAGAAUUUCUCAUUUUUCAUUCCGGAGCAUUUAGAUCUCCAAACAGCAACCUGACUGAACAUGACCACAAAACUCCUCCGGCGCCACCAAUUUCCUCCACCUGCGACUCUUCAAAUCCAACAUGUAAGCCACAUGGGCUUCACCAAAGCUUCUGCACCCAAUCACUAAAGCUUCCCCUCCCAUGUUGUCAUGUAAGCUGUGUGGCGAAUCUCAGCUGGCAAUUUGUCUACUGUCUGCCAUCUGCAGUCCUGCAGUGCCACCACCUCACCCGCAUGACACAUGUACAUCCCCAUGUCACCACCGUCUACGCAGGUCCUCGGGCACGUGCUGUCUUCCAGGAAAUCCUCCUCUGCCUUGUCCCACUCCCAGUUGGCAAAAUCGAAGGCUUCCGCGCUCCUCUCGAACCUGCCUUGCAUCUCUGUGCAGUACCCGCCGAUGACAUGGAACUUACCACGGUGGAAUACUCCUUUGCAUUCAUCGCUCUCCCUUGCCAUGUCAGGCAGUGGGGCCCACUCAUCCUUUGCCACGUCAUACACCAGCGCUGACUUCAAUGCAUUCUUCUCACCAACAUACACCACCCGCUCCAAACCCGACGCCGCACAUCCAAAGAACGACCUCCGCGCACCUGGCAUAUCCGCUCCCCGCCGCCACGUCGCCGACAGGAAAUUGUAAAUAAACACAGAGCUCGAAACCUCCCAUGUAUCCGGAUCCCACCCGCCCACCACCACAAGCUCCGACUCGACUCCCACCAGCUGACAGAACAUCGGCAACCCAUCGGAAAACCCAGGAACCGGCGGUAACUCUCUCCAAUUACCCGUUUCGAGGUCCAAAAGCGUGACCCGAUAAGCAAGCGUAGGACAUUUCAUCCCACCAGAACUCCGAUUCGGGACCACCCGGGCCUGCGCCUUUGCGAAAACGGGUCGAGUAUACCCUGCCGUUUUCCUCUGUCGGAAAAAAUCAGGGUCCUCAACCUCACUCUUCCAAACCCUACAAACCGCGGCGAUGGUGGAGAAUUUUUCAUAAUAAACGCGAAUUAAACAUUGGCGGGCAACGUCGUCCGGGAGACCCGGAAUGAAGUCCAUGAACAAAAAAAAAACAGCAAGACUGUGGUGCUAUUAAUGGAGAGAAACCCAACCAGAGAAAUAUUUGAAUAAAUUGAGAUGGGGGGUUGAAAUAAAUUGAGAGAGCAGCUAGCUACAGAAGAAGAAGAUGAUGAAGAGAGAAACAGUUGAAUAUAAGAUGAUGAUGAGGAGGAGGAUUGCCUUUUAUAGAGCUUGCCAACAAGACUGUAAUACAGGUUUAAAAAAGGUUAGGCGUUCUAGAAAGUUAAAACGAAGGCGACCAUAGGUAAUGCCAAUACGGAAUACCAUACAAACAGCCGUUGUUUCAGUGUGAAUGGCUCCCUAGAAAAUCUGAGUCCAUGUGGAUGGGUCUGUAUUUCUCACUAUAAUUUCAGCUCAAAGGUACGUUUUAUCCUGUGCCAUCUCACACUCAAAAAUUAAUAAUUAAAAAAUCCACGUAAUCAACAUUUGAGUUGAGCCACCGUUAUAUAUCACUUAAAAAAAUUAUAUAAUAUCAUUUUACUUAUAUAAUUAUUUUUUUUAAAAACAUGUGAAAACAAUUAAAUUGUGUUUUCAAAAAAUAGGAUGUUUUAUUUAUAUUUUUAGAAAUAAAAAAUUAUUUUUUAUUUCCUUAUUGUAAAAUAUAUUUUCCAUUUUUUUUUAAUUCUUGAAAAUAGGAAACCAUUUUUUAAAAUAGCUUCUAAACAUAGUCUAAAUUUUUAAAAUUUUUCUAAAUCCUGUUUUUCUAAGAAAUGAUCCUUCUAAAAAUAUAAAUCCGUUUUUCCAAACAUAUCUUAUCUCCUAGUAUUUAUUAUUAUUAUUAUUAAAUUGAAAAAUUAAAACAAAAAUUGAUAUCUAAUCUAUUAAAAUUUUAUUUUAAAAUUUUUGCUACUUGUUUUGUUAGAACUAUCUAAUAUAUUUUUUCAACUUUUAAAAAUUAAAAUUAAAUUUAUUUUUUAAUUUUUCUUUUUGUUAUAUUCUACAUUUGAAUGCCAAAAUAAUAAUAAUAAUAAAGAAAGAAAAAUGAUAUGAAAGUCACAAAACCUUAUCAACUCAAAUAAGAGCAUUGGAGUUCCUAAGGUCAGAUUUUCAUUGAAAAUUUAAAGGGGAAAAAAAAAGUGAAAAAUAGCUUUUUUUUUUGUAUUUGAUUUUAUGAUGGAAAAUUAGGAAGAAAAUUAAAUAUAAUUAAAAUUAGUUAAAUUUAUAUAUUUUAAAUUAUUUAAUCAUUAAACUAAGUGAAAUGAGUUUAAAUAAUAAUAAUAAUAAUAAUAAUAUUUAAAUUAUUUAUUAAAAUAAAAUAAUUUAUUAAUUUAAUUUUCAUUCACUUUUUAUUUUUUUUUUCUAUUUUCUUUCUAUUUCAUUUUUUCUAAAAGCAAACACACCCGACAAAAAAUGUUUUGACUUUCAUUAAAAUUUGAAGUCUUAGUAUAAUACUUUCACAUUUAUUUUAAUGCAAAUUAAAAGCCAAUACAAGCAUAUUUGGAGUGUGUUUGAAAUAUUUUCCAAUUUUUUUACUUUAAUUAGAAGUUAAAAUUGAAUCAAACUCAAAAUUUUUAAAGGAUAAUAUAUGUAAAAUAAAGUUUUCACAAUCGAACAACAUUUUUCUAAUUUCUAUAUUAAGCUUUUUUUUAAAAUAGUCAUAAGAUUUUUGAACAAAAAUAGUGAAAAAAAAAAACCCCUUAUUGAAGUUAAAAAAAGAAACUGUUAUCUUCAUAGAAGUCUUACCAAAUAAGAAUCUAGCCUUACGGAAAAAGAAAAAAAAAAAAAAAGGUGGGUCAGUGCCCACUAGAUAAUGCAUUAGACCACCGUUUGACCCAACUUGAUUCUACCUUCAUGAUUUAUCCUUUGAAUUGUAGGAAGAUGAAUUUGGACAAAUCAAAUCAAUUUAUGUCCUAAUUGAUGCCAAAAAUAUCCAUAUAAUUCAAAUAAAUAUAAAUUUGAUAGUGAGAUAAAAGGGUAUGCCGUUUUUUUAUGGGUGUUGCCAGCAUUAUUAUAAUUUAUAGCUAUUUUAAAGAAAAAUUAAAUUAAAAUUAUCAAAAUAUAUUUUAUAUUUGCAAAAGCUAAAAGCAUAACCAAGAAAAAAUCUUUAUGCUUUAUAUUUUAAAAAUUAGUUAAAGCAAAAGCAUAUCCAAAUCAGCCCCACACAUCAAAUAAAGCUAAAAAUGAAAUUGACUAAUCAUUUUUUUACUGGCAAACCUUUUUGACUUUUUUCUUUUACUGUGCCAAUGAGAAAAAUGAUUCAUAUUAAAAGUGAUCAAAUUAAUUAAUUAAAAGAUUACAGCAUCCUUGCCCAGGAGGAGUUUAUCUCAGGAGGCUUUGUUUCUUGGCUUGAAGUGUACGUUGCUCACUACUUCCUUCAUGCGAUUCUCUGGCCUUUUAUGCUGGAGGUUGACUGGUACACAUCAGCCUGCCGCUUGCUACCUGAUUGGUGAUUGUGAAUGCUUUUGGGUCUUGCUGGUUGCUUGUGUUUCCUCUGCUUACAAAUGAAAUAUCACUAUAUAUAUUCUGGGAAGAUAGGAUGGAACUGCAUUUUCAAAGGAUGGAACAUAGUUUACAAACUUGGAUUUUGUUCCUCCCUUCAAAUUUUGAUCACUCAUUAAUGAAAUUUUUUCGUUCAUUUUUUUUUUUUUGGGAGAAAAAAUGGUGUUAAUUUGUUAAUGGCAAUUUGCUGCUGAUUUUGCUGGGUUUGAAAUGUUCUGCUCUCUUUCUGUUGGUGCUGUUGGUGUUGGCGUUUGCUUAAUUGGUGCUUGUCAGAAUUUUUUUAGUAAUAUUAUUUGUAGGAUAUUCUUAGAAAAAGGUAAAUGGUAAUAGCAUCUCAUUCAUUUAUUUUUUUAAAAAAAAAUAUUAUAAAUGGUAGAAGUUACAUGAAUAAUUCAAAAUUUGGCAAUAAAAAUACAAUUCAAUCCCACCAUGACCAAUCAGAAUUGUUUAAAGAAUAAUGUAGUGGUGAUGAAUGCAAGCAUAAAACCAUUGUGGAGCCAAGAUUCAAGGGGCAUAAAACCAUUGUGGAGCCAGGAUUCAAGCAUAAAACCAUUGUUGGUCUAGCUACAAGAUUGGGAAGGCAGUCAGCGAAAAGCUGGUUGCUGUAUCUGGUCAAAUCGGCAAAGGACAUUUCAAUGAUGUAGCCGAGAUGCUGCCUCGUCCUCUAGUAGAUGAACUGCCCAUGGAGGAGACUGUUGGCCUAGAAUUGGCGUAUGGCAGAAGCUGUGGGUUUCUCAAAGAUCCACAAGUGAGAAUUAUGGGAUUAUAUGGAAUGGGGGGCGUGGGCAAAACCACCCUCUUGAAGAAAAUCAACAAUGACUUCCUCGCUACACCCAGCGAUUUUGAUGUUGUGAUUUGGGUUGAAGCAUCAAAAAUUAAAAAAAUUCAGAAAGUUGUUUGGAAUAAAUUGCAACUCUCACGUGAUGGAUGGGAAAGUAGAAGCACUAAGGAGGAGAAGGCUGCCGAAAUAUUGAGAGUUUUGAAAACAAAGAAGUUCGUGUUGUUGUUGGAUGACACAUGGGAGCGACUUGAUCUCCUAGAAAUAGGGGUCCCCCAUCCCGACGCUCAAAAUAAGUCCAAGAUAGUUUUCACAACCCGAUCACAGGAUGUGUGCCACCAAAUGAAAGCUCACAAGAGUAUAGGAGUGGCAUGUUUGCAUGUCGCCAGAAGUGGCUUGGACUUUGUUUCAGAAGGAAGUAGGAGAAGAAACAUUAAAGUCUCAUCCACAUAUACUGAGUCUUGCAAAGACUGUUGCUGAAGAGUGCAAAGGUUUACCUCUUGCUUUGAUUACUCUUAGGCGAGCCUUGGUGGGUGAGAGAGAUCCCUCAAGUUGGGACAAGGUAAUACAAGAUUUGAGCAAAUUUCCAGCUGAAACUUCAGGUAUGGAAGAUGAAUUGUUUCAUAGAUUAAAAGUCAGUUAUGAUAGAUUGUCUGACAAUGCCAUCAAAUCUUGUUUUACAUAUUGUUCCUUAUUCUCUAAAGGUUGGUGGAUUUCAAAUGAAACCCUUAUGGAAUAUUGGAUGAUUGAGGGAUUUUUGGGUGAAGUUCAUGACAUACAUGAAGUGCGUAAUCAAGGGCAUAAAAUUUAAAAAAAAAUUAAAGCAUGCAUGUUUAUUGGAGAGUUGUGGUUCAAGAAAACAAAACAUUAUGAUGCAUGAUGUGAUCCACGACAUGGCUUUAUGGUUAUCUUGUGAAUGUGGGGAGGAGAAGAACAAAAUUUUAGUAUACAAUGAUGUUUCUAAGCUGAAGGAACCUUAAGAAAUUCCAAAAUUGAAAGAGACAAAGAAGAUGUCAUUAUGGGAUGAGAAUGUUGAGGAGUUCCCUAAAACAUUGGUAUGUCCCAAUCUCAAGAUUAGUGGCUUGUGAUAAGUUGAAGAAAUUUCCAAGUGGAUUUUUUCAAUUGAUGCCUUUAAAGUUUUGGAUUUGUCAAAUAAUUAUAAUUUAAGUGAGUUACCUACUGGGAUCGGUAAAUUGGGUGCCUUGAGAUAUCUUAAUUUGUUAGCCACAAAAAUAAGAGAGUUGCCUAUUGAACUUACAAAUUUGAAAAACCUAAUGACUUUGCUUUUGGAGAAUAGGAAAUUCCUGGAAUUAAUUAUUCCACAAGAACUGAUAUCAAGUCUCAUAUCUUUAAAGUUGUUCAUCACAAUCGAUACCAAUAUUUCAAGUAGAGUUUCAGAAAGCUUGUUGGAUGAGUUAGAGUCCUUGAAUGGCAUCAGUGAGAUAUGUAUCACCAUAUGUACUACUCAUUCAUUCAACAAAUUAAAGAGUAGUCGCAAAUUGCAAAGGUGCAUAAGUCAAUUCGAGUUGGAUAAAUGUGGGGAUAUGAUCUCACUUGAACUACCGUCUUCAUUUUUGAAAAGAAUGGAGCAUUUGCGAUGGCUUUGUAUAUUUGAUUGCGAUGAAUUAAAGGACAUAAAAAUUGAAGGGGAAGGAGAAGGGACACAAAGGGAUGCGACUCUCCAAAACUACAUUGCUAUAAGGGAGAACUACUUUUGUGCCCUUUGUAACCUAUAUAUUUUUCAUUGUUCAAAAUUGUUGAACAUUACAUGGCUUGUUAGUGCUCCAUAUCUUGAGGAACUUACUGUUGGAGAUUGUGAAUCAAUAGAACAAUUGAUAUGUUAUGGAGUAGAGGAAAAAUUGGACAUAUUCUCAAGGCUCAAAUACCUUAAGCUCAACGAGCUGCCAAAAUUGAAGAGCAUCUACCAGUAUUCGCUGCUCUUUUCCUCACUUGAAAUCUUGAAGGUGUAUGAUUGCAAAAGCUUAAGGAGCCUCCCAUUCGAUUCCAAUACUUAACAAUAAUCUAAAGAAAAUUAAAGGAGAGACAAGUUGGUGGAAUCAAUUGGAGUGAAUCGAUGAAACUAUCAAGUAUUCUUUUACUCCAUAUUUCCGAAUCGACCAAGCUGAAGCAUACUUAACUGAGGAGUCCGAAACUGGUGGCAUAGAUGAUAUACAAGAGCAAUUGAUAUCAAAUUAAUUUCUUUCAGGUAUUAAUUAACUUUUAUGCUAUAUUUGAAAAAUAAUUUUUUUCCACACUCCCCAUUCAUUUGUGGAAAUUUUUACUUUACCGAUGUCAAAGUGCAUCAAAGUCUCAACAUCAUAGUAACUUUCAAUGUUUGAUGUAUAUGGACUACUUCCAUAAUUUUCAGCCUAAUCUUAAUAAUUUUGGUGUGGUUAUAAUUUUUUUCUUUUUUAUUUUUCUUUUUCGUCCUUCUAAUCUUAAGCCUUCAUUUUGAUGACAAACAUAAUUAAGAAAGGAAAAAAAAAAUGUAAGAAAUCCAAAUCUAAAUCUAUAUAUAUAUAUAUUUUUAUCUCUAUCUGAUUGGCUCUGAUCAGUUUUUGCCUUUUUUUUUUUUUUCAUUUCUCUUUUUGUUGCAUUCAAGGUUGGGCCUUGUUCUAGCAGUUCUAGCAACAGCCGGGUUUUGAUCGUUUUUAUAUAGACUGUGUUGUUGGAACUCCAUUUUGCUUGUAUCCAAUUAUUAGACAGGAAUCGCAUGUUGAAUCAUAUGAAGAAAUUAUGCCAAACAUUUCUAUAGAAAGGGAACAUACAGAAUCUGAACUAACCUGAUUCCAUUUUGAGUGUUGAAUGAAUAAGGUAUGGAUCUUCUAAGGCUGUGGAGGGCACCACCUCUUUCUGAAUUCUCUCUGACGAUGGAGCAGGAGAGAAAACAAGUCUAUUAUUAUUUCAAGUGAUGUGAUUAGACUGAACAGACACUUAGCCUUUGGUUUUAUACCCUCCUGCCUUAGGGACCAUACCCUUUGGCUAUUGGGCCUCACGAGUCUUAGGCCCAUCAUCUAAGGCCCGUGAUGGCAAUGGGCUGUACACAUAAGGUGACCCAUACUAUGGAAAAUUGAUACAAAAUAAAUAUCAAAAGGCGAAUAGCUUAGUCAUGUAUCAUUGUUAAAUAUGUGUGAGUCCAUAUCUUAACAUGUGUUGUUGUUGUUUUUGCUGAUGGUUGAUGUCCUGCUCUUUUUCCUUCUACUUAGUAUUUGGGUUUGGUCUGAGGUCGAUCUAGGUAUGUUUGAUCAGAGAGGCAUAAAUGCUUAUUCUCGGAGCAUUGAUAUUUCAUGGUGCUGAGACUGCUGGGAAGGUUGGUGUACUUAUGAUGGUUGCAUCAUCCUUUUUGUUUCUGGAUCUCAGGAAUUGGAUUCUGUGGGCUGCCUUUGGCUUUUGAUGUUGGGUGGGUUUUGUUUUGUUAAUUUGUUGAGGCUGGUGCAGUGUGGUGGAUCUGAAGCUGCUAGUAUGCUGCUGCUGGGUCAAUGUCAAUGUGAUAUGGGAAUGCUUUUGGGUCUUUGGGCUUCAGCUGGUUGCUUGUGUUUCCUCUGCUUACAAAUGUUUUAUCACCAGAUCCUAUGUGGAGAUGGGAUGGAUUGUUUUAAUAGUGAUGGUGUGAGGGUGUGAUAUAAUCCUGUCAACAGAGCCACAUGCUUUGGUUCAUAUACCAGAGCACUGCAUACUUGAGUUUGAUAUCAUAUCCCACUCCCAAAGUGUGUCGUGCAUAAUGUAAUGUAAACAAGUUUCAACUUUCAUCCAUUGUGGAUUGAAAUGUUUAAUUUGGGAGAAAAACUGGUUGAUUUGUAACAUUUGAGGGUGUUAAUGGUGAUUUUUCUUAUUAUUAAUUGUGAUUGAAAAGAAAGUUGAUGAACAAGGUGGAAGUAUAAGCAGAGAGUUCUGAGGACUCCUAAUGUGGUACAUUUUCUCAAGCAUAUUUCUUCCCCAAUAAAAAGGAAAACUUGGGUUCACUUGUGCGAUGGUUUUGGCAGUUGGCACUAACUGAUCAAUGAAAGAGAGAUCCAGGUUUAUCACUGAUGAAUUAAAAUGCUUUGUUAUUGUUGCUUAGUUAAAAAAGUUGCGGUUCAGUUUGCUAAUCUAUUGAUAUCUGUUGCAGUGAUUCUGCUGCUGAUGAACAUCAAAGACAAUCAAUAGGUGCAGGUGAUGCCAUCUCAUCUGCUCAAUCAUCUCAAGUAUUACAGCCUGCUCGCUCAGGGGCCAGGGGACGUGCUUCAAUGGCUGAUAUUGUGAGGAGGGGCAGACCAGGGACCAGGAGACAUGUUUCAAUGGCUGAUGUUGUAGGGAUGGGCGGACCUGGUGCCAAUACUUCCAGCCUGCCAAUUACGUCAACUGGAACUUCUCCCCCUCUUGUUGGGGCAGUACCAGAACAAUGUGGUGUGCCCAAUACUUCCAGCCCGCUAAUUACAUUAGAUGAAACUUGUUUCCCACCUCUUGGAAGAACACCAAAACGAUCCUCUUACCGUGUCACUACUCCCUUUGUUCUGCCACCAGUGGAGGCAGAACCACACCAAGAUUUGCAUUCUCCAAAUCCUUGGUAUGUGUUGGAGAUAAGUCAUGACUCAUGAGCCUUGCAUUACUGAUGAAUGGCCCACCACUGAUUAGCCAACAGCACAUAAUGGCUUUUUUAGGUGGCUCACCUGCCUUAGAAACAGAGAUAUUCUAACCCAUCUAACUUGUACAGUGAUACAGCUGAAAUGUCCCAGGACUGCCGGCCAGAUGAGGUCCAAGCAUCUGUAUCCAGUGAACAGUGGGCAGAGUAUAGCGCUGCAGGUGCGUCUUAUAGAGCUUGCCAACGAGACUGUAGUACAGGUUUAAAAAAGGUCAGGCGGUCUAGAAAGUUAAAAUGAAGGCGACCAUAGGUUAUGUCAAUACACAAGACCAUACAAACGGCCAUUGUUUCUAUAUUUUGUUAUUUGUUUUUAAUGUGAUUGGUUCCCUAGAAAAUCUGAUGUGACCCUGGUUCAUGAUGCCCAAAAUGGAAAUCAUGCGAGUCCAUGUGGAUGGGUCUAUAUUUAUCACUCUUUUGAAAAUUCAUCACCCAUCAAAAUGAUCAAAUUUCAUAAUCUAAGCUUGAAAAUACAUCUUAUCAUUUGCCUUCUCACUCUCAAAAAUUCAAAAUAAAAAAUUCCACAUAAUCAAUACAUUUUGGAUUUUAAUUAUUUUAAUCCAUUCUAUCUUCAUUAUCUAAGUCCAACUUCUACUGUCAGUAAAAGUAAAACUUCAUUUCAGGAAGAGAGAAAUUGAUAAGUUUUAACAAAUAAGUUUAAAUACAUUUUUUAUUUUUAUUUAAUUUAAAAUUUUAUAUAACAUACCAAAAUUUUAAAAUGUUUAUAUUAAAAAUAUAAUGACUUAAAAUUAUUUAAAAAAUGAGAUAUCAAAAAAAUUAUUAUCUUAAAUUUAAAAAAUUAAUGUAAUUUUUUUAUAAAAAAAAAAACAUAAUAUAAAAAAUAUAUAUUGGAGGAGCAGAAUAAUUGAGAGAGAAGCAACAAAACGUUAAGUACAAAGUGGGGAAAUGCAACUAAUGAAGUGGGUCCAAAAGGUUGAAAGAUAAGAGGAUACCUUAACAAUGUCAUUUGGGCAACAUUAAGUUAAUUGAUCCUAAUCAAUGCAAAAUACCAUGAAUCUAAAGUUCACAUCAUAGCAACAUAGAGAGGGAGUUCAAUUUCAAUACAAAAUACAAAAAGUGUAAAACUAGAUAUUAAUAUUAAGACAUCAUACUAAUUAAAUAAGUUUCAUUUUUGUCAAAAAAAUAUAUAUAUAUCUAGUUCCCAAAAAUAUCAAGGAAAAAAAUAUAAAAAAUAUUUUUCUUCAUAUUUGGUUUUACUAUGAUAAAUUCGAGAUAAAAUCAAAUAUAAUUGAAAUUUUAAAUAUUUUAAAUUAUUUAAUCUUUAUAUAAAAAUAAAGUUAAAAUAAGUGAAAUGACUUCAAAAUAAUAUAUAAAAAAUAAAAUUAAUUUAUUAGUUUUAAUCCUAUUUUUUAUUUUCAUUGGUUUUUUGUCUUUGGAUUUUUUUCUUCUUCAUUUUCUUUUUCUCAUAUUUUUCCUCAAUCAAACAUACCAAAAAAAAAAAAUUGUUUUAACUUUCAUUAAAAUUCAAAGUCUUAAUAAUACUUUCACAUUUUUUUUUAUUCAAAUUAGAAGAAAAUACAAAUAUUUGGAAUGCCUUUGAAAUAGUUUCCUAUUUUUCACUUUAACUAAAAGUUAAAAUUGAAUCAAAAUCAUAAUUUUUAAAAGAUAAUAUUGGUAUUAAAUAUAUGAAAGAGUUCUUAGCAUAAAUCAAAAUAAAGUUUUUACAAGGAACAACAAUUUUUUUAAUUUCUAUAUUAAAUUUCUUGUUAAGUGGUCAUAAGUUUUUUAAACGAAAAUAGUAAAAAAAAAAAAAAACAUAUGAUUGAUACCAAGAUAAAUUAUGAAUCCUUUAAAGUGAUCCACUACACUUUUUUGGGGUGGAAAUUCAGUCAUUAAUACAUGUACUUGAUCUGGGGGUGCCCUACAAUUCAAGUCAAUGAAUUUGGACAAAUCAAAUCAAUUUUUUUCCCAAUUGAUACCAAGGAAUAUCCAUAUGAUUCAAACAAUAUUUAUAUUGUUUGUUUGGAUUUUGCCUAAAGUAUUCAUGAAUGUGUCCAAAUAAUAUGCUUAUCAAUGGCACUACUAAUUUUUGCUUCCCUUUUUUUUUUUUUUUUUUUUUCAUUUUUUGUUUGUUUUGAAUUGGUACUUCCUUUCUCAUUCAUUCUACAUUCUUUUUUUUAAAAACAUUUGUCUCUUUUGCAUACAUCCUAAAAAGCCCAAAGUGUCUUUAUUAUUAUUAUUAUUAUUUUUAAAAAAAGAACUUAAUAAAAUCUUUUGCUUCAAUUUAUCUUAAAAUGAAAAUAAAAAAUAAAAUUUUAUUAUUAAAGUUUUAUUUUGAUUUAUAGAUAAAGCUAUUUCAUAUUUUAUAAAUCUCUUCCUAUAUUCAUUUUGUUCUUUGCAAAUUAUAAUUUCACUCACUUCAACUUUGAAAAAAAAAAAAAUUAUAGCAAAUUAUGUUUUAAUCCGCUUUCCAAUUGGAAAAUACUAAUAAUGCAACCCAUAUCUGUCUAAACUUAGUGCAUAUAAUAUUACUUUUCAAUGGACUUGAAAAAUAUUUAAAAACCAACAACUCCAAAGUCAAUUAUCUCAAUUAUGGAGUGUAAUGGUUUCCAAAAGAUUAAAGCAAGUGUGAAGAUCCCUAUAAUGUUUUUGAGUGUAAUGGUGUUUCCAAAAGAUAUAAGUAAGGAUGAAAAUAUCGGUAAUCAUGAAUAUAUCGGUAUUUUGAUUUUACGGAUAUAUCGGUGGGUAUUUUGACAUAAAAUAUCAGUAGACCUAAAAUUGACUAAAACUUAUAAAAAUAUAAAAUAAAACUUUUAGAAAUGAAAUUAAAAGUACAAUAGACAUUUUAAAAUUAUUUUUGUUGAAUAAAUUAAUGUAUAUAUAUAAAAUAAAACUUUUAGAAAUGAAAUUAAAAGUAUAAUAGACAUUUUACAGUUAUUUUGUUGAAUAAAUUAAUAUAUAUAAAAUAUUGUACGUGUCAAUAAAAAAUAUAAAUUUGAUAAGUAUAUAUUGAUUAUUAAAUUAUAUCAAAUAUUAUUUGGUGAUUAUAUUGUGAUAUUUGAUUAUAAUAUAUUUCGGUGGAUAUUUUGACACAAAAUAUAUGUAGACUUAAACUUGAUCAAAACUUAUAAAAAUAUAAAAUAAAACUCUUAGAAAUGAAAUUAAAAGCAUAAUAGACAUUUAAAUUUUUUUUUAAAUAUAUAUAUAUAUAUAUAUAUAUAUAUAAUAUUGUACAUGUUAAUAAAAAAAAUAUAAAUUUGAUAAAUGUACAUUGAUUUUUAAAUUAUAUAAAAUAAUAUUUGAUGAUAAUAUUGUGAUAUGUAAUUAUAAUAUGUUUAAUUUUAAAAUCUAUUUAAUAUUAAAAUUAUGAUAUAUUAUAAAAUAAAUGUAUAAAAUUUUAAUAUAUUAAUAAUAUUAAAAACACCAUGAAUAAAAUUAUGAUAUAUUUUUACUAAUCAAUUAAAUGAAAAAAUUUCAUUAAAUUAUAAAAUAGUUAUAAUUAAUUUGUUAUUUAAAGUGUUUUUUUUUAAUAUUUUAUUUAUAUCAUAACUUUUGAUAUAUAUUUCUUUAGUGCAUAUUACAUAUCAAAGGGCAAGUUUGCCUUAGUGGAGCCGGGGAUGCAUGUUGAACCUUCGAAUCUCCCUAAUAGCAACAAAAAAAAGCUCAAUUUUGAGCUUUGAUUGCGUUGAGCAGCCGUUGACCACCGAUAUAUCCAUGCUAUAUAUCGUUUCGCCACCCGCCGACACACCGAUAUUUCAACAAUAUUUUCUUCCCUGGAUAUGAGCAAGUAUGAUUUUCCUUAAAAUGUUUUUCACAAUUUUUUUAUAUGAUUAUUUAAGUUGCCUACCAAUAAAUCUUUUUCUAAUUUUUGUAUGAAUUGAAUAUUAUUAUUUUUUUUUAAAAAUAAGAAGUAUGUUUAAUAAUUAAUUUUUCUAAGUAAUAAUAAUGACCAACAACCUUUUAGACCUAGUUUUUCAAUCAACUUAUUUAUUUCAUAGGUAUAAAAUAUGGAGAAGUAAAAUAUAUGUAUUGAUGGAUCAAUUAAAGGGAGGGUUAAACCUACUAAGACACUACCCACCUCACUGGAGAAUGGAAAAUUGAACGGUUAUAAAUACAUCAUCAUUUCCCAUUUUUCACAAAAAUGUUGCUCCAUGUCCUCUUAUCAAUUUCACUUCAAUUAUCCUCAAAAAAAUCACUUCACAACUUCAAAGAUUUGUUAGCAAAAUUGAAAAAGUACUAACAUGUCACUUGAGUAAAAAAAGACAUGAUUCCUAUGCAAAAAAUGAAACAUAUGUGUGGACCCCGUAUUUCGACUCAUGCGUUCCCCACUCGGUGGCGAAACUCACUUUUAAUUUUAUUCAGUGAAAAUUUGAUUUUUGGGGAAAAGACUUGGAGUCGCCAUUUUGUGGACCCUGCAUUUCAACUCAUGCGUUCCCCACUCAAUGGCGAAACUCACUUUUAAUUUUAUUCGGUGAAAAUUUGAUUUUUGGGGAAAAGACUUGAAGUCGCCACUUACUUUUGUUUUAUUUUUAAAAGGGUAAACAAAAUAAGAAAGAAAACCCUGAGUGUGACUCCUCAUUUUGGAAAAGAUGGUCUGCGAAAAACCGGAUCGGGCUCGAGGGUCAGAUUACUUAUUGGGAAGGUAUGGUAAAGACUGUAGCACGCCUCUAAGUCCCUAAAGUUGGGGUCUCUACUAAUAGAAUGAAGCCGACAUGGCAAUCAAUAAGAAAGUCAAUGGAUACCUAAGUCAAAUCAUGCACAUAUGGGAAUCGGAACAUGCAUAGAGAAUGAUCCGAAUGAAAGUGUAUGCGUACCUGGGUCACGAGCCACAAUGCAUUGUAUUUGCUCCUCUCAGUGCGAUUUUCUCCGUGCGUUUUUCCCUAUCCCCUCACUAGCUCCCUCUGGUAUCCUUUUCCCUCUUUUUUUUUAGCUUGCUCUCUAAGCUAACGAAAACCUCACUCUGUCACCUUUCACUCAGCCGUCCUCCCUAUUCCAUCUUGUCACCCCAUGCCCUCUUUGGUAGAGUUCACGAGUGCAAUGAACAUGAACACUGAAGUGAAAAGAGAGUGUGAAUAGUGAGUGAAAUGAAGUGAACUCUACCGAAGAACCCAGGAGACCCCCACAACGACACUAGUGAAACACGAACUCAUUAAAACUAACAGACAAACACGAAGGCUCUAACCCUGAGAGAAGAUGAUGUUCAAAAUGUCUCGGAAGCCACACUGAGGACCUAGGCUCCCUCUAAGACGCCUCCAAAAGAGGCUUGAAGAACCAUAUCAAAGAUGAGUAAUGGUUGAACCACUCUGAAGUAUAGAAAAGACUAUGCCCAAAGGAGACUGCCAUAUGCGAACUACAUAAAAAUGACAAGUGUAUGGUGCCUAACGACAUGACUGAAGUAGGUGUCGUGAACUCAAAGGACUGUGUCAUGAGCAAUGAAAAAGGGAAUCUGGAAGAGUGAUGGCAAGUAGGCGAUAAGCACACGAUAACAAGGUAAGAAAAAUGAGAACAUAUGCAAACCCAUGAAGGCAAGAUGUGUAAUGCCAAUGAACAUGAAUGCCAGGGACUCUGACUCUGAAUGAUAUAACUGAGGAGAAAUGACUCUGCAUAUCAAAACAAAGAGAGAUGGUGACUCAUGGUGCAUGAAUGAAUAUGUACAAUGGCUCUGAACACCAAAAUUGAGAAGCGAUGAUGGCUUUGAAUGCCAAAACUGAGAAUGAUGAUGGCUCUGAACGCCAAAACUGAAAAUGGUGAUGGCUCUGAACGCUAAAGCUGAUAAGCGAUGAUGGCUUUGAACGCCAAAACUGAGAAUGAUGAUGGCUCUGAAUUCCAAAACUAAAAAUGGUGAUGGCUGUGAACGUUAAAAUUGAAAAUGGUGAUGGCUUUGAACGCCAAAACUAAGAAUGAUGAUGACUUUGAACGCCAAAGCUGAGAAGCGAUGAUGGCUUUGAACGCCAAAAUUGAGAAUGAUGAAGGCUCUGAAAGCCAAAACUGAAAAUGGUGAUGGCUGUGAACGCCAAAACUGAAAAUGGUGAUGGCUUUGAAAGCCAAAACUGAGAAUGAUGAUGGCUCUGAACGCCAAAGCUGAGAAGCGAUGAUGGCUUUGAACGUCAAACUGAGAAAUGUCGAUGGCUCUGAAUGUUGAAACUAAGAGAUGAUAAUGGCUCUGAAUGCCGAGAUUAAGAAACAAUGAUGGCUCCGAACGCCAAACUGAAGAUGUUGAUGGCUCUGAACGCCAAGACUGAGAAGAAAUAGGGGCUCUGAACGCCAAAUGGAAAAUGCUGAUGGCUCUGAGCGCCGAGACUGAGAAGAAAUAGUGGCUUUGAAAGCCAAAUGGAAAAUACUGAUGGCUCUGAACACCGAACUGAAAAGAAAUGAUGGCUCUGAACGCCAAAUGGAAAAUGUUGAUGGCUCUGAAUGCCAAGACUAAGAAGAAAUAGUGGCUCUGAAAACCAAAUGGAAAAUAUUGAUGGCUCUGAAUGUCGAACUGAGAAGAAACAAUGACUUUGAACGCCAAAUGGAAAAUGCCGAUGGCUCUGAACGCCGAGACUGAGAAGAAAUAGUGGCUUUGAAUGCCAAAUGGAAAAUCCUGAUGGCUCUAAACGCCGAGACUAAGAAGAAAUAGUGGUUCUGAACGCCAAAUGGAAAAUGUUGAUGGCUCUGAAUGCCAAGACUAAGAAUGAACAAUGGCUUUGAACGCCAAAAUGAAAACGUGGCUUCGAACGCCAAAUGGGAACAAUAGCUACUAAUGCUAAGCGAAAAUAGUGGCUUAGAAUGCUAAACUAAACUGAAUAACCAUAAGCGUCAAACUGAGAAAGACGACGCUGACCAUCGUAACUAAGAAGACAUAGUGGCUCUAAAUGCCGAACUGCAAGGGAAUGAUGGGGGGAAAAUAUGCCCCAGUGUAGCGGGUCACCAAAAACCCUCAAUCCAUCAGAAAAGUCGGAAAGAGACUCCGUAAGUCUCGAAAAAAUGCUUGGCCAAUGUGUCGGGGUGAUAAAAUCGAAUGAUCCUUUAAGGAGCCUUCAGAAAAAUGAUCUGAUAGGGUAACUAACGCGAUCUGAAGAAUCACGGAUAGCAAGACAAUCACAACCCGAACGUCCUACUCUACUGAAAGCUCAUCUCGAAGAAUCACGGAUAGUGACUAGUAAAGCAGAUAUAAUAUCUCUUGGCCAAGUGAUGAGAACCGCAACAAACUUGUGAGAGAACGAUCAUCUCCAUAUCCAAAUGAGGGAAAUAUGCCCACGUAUGGCGUCAAAUGUAUCCGAUCUGUCCUGAUGACUCAUGAGUAACUCAAUGGGGACGCGUCGCAGAUCUGACAUGUGCUCCAACGAAAUGAUGAAGUGAGAGUCCAUGAGCCUGAGAUGACUCCAUCCAAAAAUCACAAUGACAUCGGAAACUAUAAACAUGAUGAAACGACUCAAGGGAAGGUCCUUCGAAGAGUCAUGACAAAAUGAAACAAGAUCAUCAACCCGAUGUGUAUCUCGUAACUAGGGAUAAUGACGCAAACCAGAAGGGAUCUACGAAUCUCAAUCAAAGACGGAAAUAUGCCCCAGUAUGGCAUCAAAUGUGUGACAAGUAGGGAAAAUCAAAUGACAUCGAAUCAAGCAUCAACAGAUAUGUAAUCUUGGUCAUUUGAAUCCAUAACUGAAUCAUACCCACUGAUCAAAGAUGUGUCUUUCGGAAGGAAGCAUGAUGAUGGCAUCUGAGUGCUGAGAAAUGCGUGCCUAACUGGAUGGCUCCCAAGAGGCUCCACUAAGAAAUCAUCGUAAAAAUAGUGAUCGGACGAUCAUCUCGAUGAGUAUCCCGUUAGUGGGAAUGAUCACAUAACUCCACGAAGAUCAGUAAACCUCAUCCGAAAUGGAAAUAUGCCCCAGUAUGACAUCAAAUGUACAAUAGGUCGAAAUCGGGUGACAUGAAAUCAUCCAUCAUCAAAUAUGCGAUCUCCAUAAUCCAAAUCAAAUCCAAACAUCUAGGGAACGUCUCUCGAAAUAAAAAGCAUGAAAACAACCCGAUACCGAGAAAUGUGGACCUAGAUGAAUGGCUCCACUGGGGCUCCACUAAAGAAUCAUCAUAAAAAUAACGACAACGUCAUCAUCUCAACGCAUAUCCCGCAAGUGGGGAUAAACACGCAACUUCGUGAAGAUCGGCAAAUCUCAUCUAGAACGGAAAUAUGCCCUAGUAUGGCAUCAGAUGUAUAGUAGGUCUGGCUGAAUGGCCCUAAAGAGGCUCAACUGAAGGAUUGUCAUAAAAUAAUGACCACGCCAUCAUCUCAGCGCAUAUAUCGUGAAUGGGGAUAAGCAUGCAAACUCGUGAGGAUCUGUAAAAUCAUAUCUGAAACGGAAAUAUGCCCCAGUAUGGCAUCGAAUGUGUGACAAAUCAGAAAAGGUUAGGUGUCGUCAAAUCAUCCCUCGUCAAAUGAGUGAUCCCGGUAAUCCAAACACAACCGAAACAAAUCUAAACAUCAGAAAGGUGUCUCCCAGAAGAAGAAGCAUGACAGUAUCUAAAUGGCAACUAGAGCCCAAACACCUGUCCAAGUAGAGGCUGUCGAAGACGACAUCUGAUCCCAUGGCCUCAGGGUGGUCUUAAGACACGGGACGUAACGUAGGCUAGGGUGAUAAGGUAAUAGAAAUGAAAGGAAACGAGACCUAAAUACCCAAUGAUCAAAACUCAUGCCCUCAAGUAUAAAAUGCAAUAUGUGUGGAAAAGCUCGUGAGCCAUGAACCUGAAUGUGCCCAAUGUGAAUGUGAUAUCAAUAACAAGGUGGUGAAGAAAAAUGAUCUGAUAGAUGGAUGUGUAAGAACGAUGCACGUGAAGUGUCAAACUGAGAAUAAAAAGGCGUGGUAAGAAAAAUAAAAUGGCAAGAGGUGAGAUGAGGAUGAUGAAUCAAAAGCGAAAACAAGAAUGAUGAUGAAAUACGUAAUACAAAGGGGAGCAGUGAUCAACUCAAAUCAGACAUGGAGUGAACUCACAUCAACAAUGAAUGUAAUGAUGGAUAGGACAAUGACCCGGAGUCCCUAGGAGAAGGCCACUCAUCUCGCUCUCAAAACAUACGACAAAAAUGAAUACAAAGAAUGAAAGGUCUUGAGAAGCUCACAUACGAACUCUCAUCAAUAAACAUACUCGAUACAAUGACCUUUGAACAUCAACAUACACGCCCAACGAUGGAGAAUACUAUGCACAUACACAUGCAUGCUUAUUUUUUCUUUCUUUUCAUUUUUUUUUUUUUUACAUAUAUACAAAGGCACAUACCUUGAACAUAGACAAAUGAACCCCAAAGAUGAUAGCAAUAAUGAAUAGACACGCUCCCAAGUGCUAAGGUAACAAAAAUCUCUCUCUGAUAAGAUGACCUUCUCAAACUAAGGAUCUCUAACUCAAUGUCCGCAUGAUAAAUAGUGGAAAUGAUGUGACUAUCCCCCAUGUAAUGAAUUGAGGAGGAUCACCACUCGGGGUGGAGAGAAUAUGAAGCAAAACAAGUAAAUAGAAUAAAGAAUGAGAGAUGAAAAACACAACUAAUGAGAUAUGAAGGAAUGCAGUAGCGCGGUGGUAGGAAAAAAAAUAAUGAGAGAAAGAUGCACCUGUAGGUCCAAGACUCAUGAGGCUUCCAAACAAUGCAUGCAUACACUAAAUGGCCCCAAUCCCGGUGUAAAAAUGUGAGGAAGGCGAUAAGAUAGAAAUGCUAGAAUGCAUACGCGAGGCUCAAUGGGCUAGCAACGGUUCAUAUGUCAAAAAAGGAAUAACAAGGUAUAUAGCUAACCGAAAUGAUGGCCACCCAUUCUGCGACCAUGGUCUCAAACAUAGUACCUCUUUAGCUGGUCCACGUUGGUAGGCUCCGAGAAUCGGUUUCCAUCUAGAUCCAUCAACCAUGCAGCGCCCUCUGGGGUCAACUCCCUGAUGAAGUAAGGUCGGCUCCAAUUGGGUCUGAACUUCCCUCUAGGAUCUCUGAUCAAUCCUCUGAUGACCUUCAGAACCAAGUCGCCUGUCCAUAGUGGUCUGGGCUUAACCCGCUUUUUGAAAGCGCGGACCAUCUUUCUUUGAUAUGCAUGAACAUGAUCGGCUGCCCUUAAUCUCCUCUCAUCUAAGAGAUUGAGUUGAUCAAAUCGAGCCUGAACCCAAUCUGCCUCAGGAAUCUGCUGCUCCAAUGCUACUCUCAAUGAACCCAUCUCAAUCUCAACUGGUAGCACUACCUCCAUACCAUACACUAAUGAAUAGGGUGUGACCCCUAUAGAGGUGCGAAAAGAAGUCUGAUAAGCCAACAAUGUGAAAGGGAGCUUCUCUGACCAAUCUUGAGAAGUCUCAACCAUCUUUCGCAAGAUCCUCUUAAUAUUCUUAUUCGCGGCCUCUACUGCCCCAUUCGUCUGCGGCCUGUACGCAAACGACCUACGAUGUCAGAUGCCAUAUCUCUAUACUAAGGUGUCAACCUCUGCUCUGAAAUGUACUCCUCUAUCCGAAAUCAGCUCAUGAGGGACUCCGUAACGACAAAUAAUAUGUGAUCUAAUGAAACUGGUGACUUCGGCUGAUGUCAAUCUCGCAUAUGAAGCGGCAUCCACCCACUUGGUGAAGUAAUCGAUGGCGACCAAGAUGAACUCAUGACCACUAGAAGAUUUCGGUGAAGUCUUCCCGAUGAUGUCGAUACCCCAUACUGAAAAUGGUCAUGGUGACGUCAAUGCAUGUAACUCCGAGGGUGGCACGUGAAUAAGAUCUCCGUGUAUCUGACACUCUGGACAUCUCUGAACGAACUGGCAACAAUCCGUCUCCAUAGUCAACUAGAAGUAGCUAGUCCUCAUGAUCUUACGAGCCAACAUAUGUCCUCCCAUAUGUGGUCCGCAGACUCUCGUAUGAACCUCCCUCAUCACUCGAUCGGUCGAGGCGCGGUCUAAACACAAUAAUAGUAUCCCAUCAGGUGAUCGUCGGUACAAUGUCUCACCACAAAUCAUGAAUCGAGCUGCCAACUAUCUCAACGCUCUCUUAUCCUUGGUCGUGACGGCCUUAGGAUAUACACCAAGUGUCAGAAAGUGAUAUAUAUCGUGGUACCAUGGCAAACCAUCAUUUGGCUCUGUAUCAUCAAUCAAACAACAAUAGGUGGGAUUAGAUCUCGACUAAAUCAUCAAAGGGUGAACAAUGGCAUUGACAGGAAUAUCGAUCAUGGAAGCUAGAGCAGUUAAGGCAUCAGCAAACUAGUUCUGCGCUCUAGGCAGAUGUGUGUAUCUCAAAUCAUCAAAUCUCCCGACCAAUAGCUCCAAAUAUGCGUGGUAAGGCCCAAGCUUCACAUCUCUAGUCUUCCACUCGCCCUGAAUCUGUCUCAAUACCAAAUUGGAGUCACCAAACACCUCCAUUUACUAUAUCUCCAACCUUAGCGAAUGUCCCGUGCUCGUCGAUCUCAUCUGGGAAAUAGAGCGUCAUAAGGCUCAUGCGAUCGGGGGAUGAAGGGGCGGUCAAUGCAGAUGUGGAGGUGCCCAGAGGUUCGUCACUCAAAAGUAACUGGCGGAUAAGGCGCUGAAGCUCGGCCUCCUGGGUAAUGCUAAGCCCUCCAAUAAUCCCGUAUGAUUGGGUCGGUGGCUCCGAUGCCCUCACAAAAUAAUCUGCUAGGCUCAUGGUGUACGAGCGAACGGGAUAAUCGAAAGGUGUGUGAGUCAGUCGAGCUCUCACCCGCUCCCUGUGCAGUCGUGCCAUAUAUCUGUAGUCAGCCUCAAUAGGGACGAACUCGAGUCCGAAAGGUACAUCAUGAUCAGGAAUGGUCAUGAACUCGCUAGGCCCAUGCUGACGCCGCUCCAACCCCAUGCCGGGAAGAUAGGACAUGCCCCUCAUCAUAUUAAGCACCACUGUGCUCCCAUGCUGGUCAAAGGACAUAGCCACAAAGUCUCGAUAGAAGUCCUCCAUCUCAAGGGUCUGCACCUCGUCAAAAGUGAACUCGGUCAGCAGUAAGUCGUCGUCGCUAUGGUUGAUCUGGAGCAUUGGCUCAGCAGAAAUAAACAUGUCUCUUACAGACUGUACUGUGACAAUCUGUCCCUCAUGGAUGAAUUUCACUUUUUGAUGAAGUGAAGAAGGCAUGGCUCCGACUCGGUGAAUCCAAGGUUGGCCCAAAAGUAGGUUAAAGGAUGCAAGAAUCCUCAAAACCUGAAAUACGGUGACGAACGUGGUCGGACCUAUUAGGAGCUCAAUCUCAAGUGUACCCAUAACCUCCCUCCAAGUGUUGUCAUACGCUCGAACGGUCUGAGUGGAGGGAUCGAAAUCAGAGGGUGCAUAUCCAAGAGCGAUGGCGGUGGCCAGAGGACAGACGUUUAGGGCCGAGCCAUUGUCCAGAAGGACAAAUGGAACUCGGCGACCUGAACAACCAAUAGAAAUGUAGAGAGGACGUGUGUGGUCUGAGCUCUCCGAUGGCAAGUCAUCGUCAGAAAAUAUGAUGCAAGUGGCUCUGCCAACCAUCAUCAUGUGAAUCAGUUCCUCAGGGGUGGUCGUAGUAUUGACCCUAAUCUGGCUCAAAGCUCGAGUCAAGGCAUCUAGAUGAGUACUGGAAGAUGCUAGCAAACUCCAGAUGGAAAUACGAGCCUGAGUGCUCUGCCUCAAAAUCUCAUCAUCCUCUCUCCUGACCUCCUCCUAGGAUGACGUACCCUCUAAGGGUCUAGCGGCUGCAGGGGGCUGUUGGCGUACCACCUUACCUCCGCAGAUGACAUACUGUACAUCUGAAGUGUGAACAUCAUCGACAUACGGAGUCUGGGAAACAUCAACAUAUUGAGUCUGAACCUAAACAACAUCCAGAAUCAAAAGAAACGGAGUCCGAACACUGUAAUGUGGGAAAGUCAAUGGCUCGAUAAUGGUCGUCUGUACCAAUGUCAUCUCAAGGGUCAGCCUGAAUGGUGUGGACAUCCAAGGGCCCAAAGUCACUCUACCUAUCUCAUGAAUCUCGUCUGACACUAUAGGCUCUGGCUCUGGCUCAUCCCAACUCAACAUGUGGAUGUGAUUGUCAAGCUCAGCGAAGUCGAUGGAGUGCAUGCUAUCGGUCGGAGGAGGAACCGCAUGCGCGGUGUGGGCCGGUAGUGGGUUUUGGGUUACACUCAACUGACCCAAGUGAACCAAACCCUGAUCGAUCAAAUCCUGAACAACAUGCCUCAGAGUUGUGCAUCGAUCAAUCUCAUGUCCAAGCCCCUGAUGAUAGGCACAAUGUAAAUCCAUCCUGAACUGAGGAGGAAGAGGCUGAGGUGGUGGCCUCAGGGUAAGAACAGUCAAUAAUUCGGCCUCUAUGAGCUUCCAAAGAGCCUGGCUCAAUGGCAUGCUUAUCUGGGAGAAUUGUCUUUACGUCCUCAAAGAAAAUGGAGUAGAGGUCUGCUGAGCUCUGGGCUUGUGGUAAGAAGUAACGGGUGUCGCAGUGAAUUGUGCAGCGUAGCAUGGCUGUCUGGUGGCUGUAUAAGAAAUAGGAGGCUUCUCGAUGCCCUGAGUGGUAUAAUAAGGCAGAGCUAGUGUCUGAGGUUGGUAUGUCUAAUCAUAAGUCAGGCGAGGUGCCUGUGGCCUGUACUGCUGAGGCGUGUAAGAUGAACGAGCCUCGGGAAGCUGUGGGAUCGGCUGAUGGCGCCUAGGAGGCCUCUGACUAGAAGAACCAAUGACUCCCACAUCCACUGAUCUCUGUCCUCCAAAAGGUUUCUUCCCCUUGACAUCACUAGGGGAAGAAUCUGCCCACAAACCUCUCGAGAUGCCAUCCUCGACAUCGUAUAAUGCUAAGCCCAGAGAACCAAAAUCUACAAAAGGCACCCUGACCACAUGUCUGGCGAUCCUUGGCCGUAAGCUCUUCAGAACCACCUGUAUAUGAUCUCUAUCUGAUGGUCUAUCCACUAUCUCGGCUAUCUUCUCGUGCCAGCGGGAGAUGAACUAUGAAACAGACUCUUUUGCCCUCUGUCUUAGAGCCUCAAGCUCUCUCCUCAAUACAUCUACGACAGUGUUAAAUGAAAACUGUUGUAGGAACUCUUGGGCCAAGUCGUCCCAUGUCCGGCGUCGUGAGGACUCUAAAGAUGCGAACCAUGGCUGGGACGCCCCACUAAGAGAUAGCGGGAAUAAAGUGAUCAUCUGAGGCUUGUCCAAUCCAUGAGCCCUCAUCACUGUGCUAUAGAGUCGGAGGUGAAUGCAAGGACAACCAAUACUUAUGUACCUCUCAAUAUCCGACAUCCUGAACUUAGCCGGCAAACUGGCUACCGGCAUACCCUCAAGAUCAUCCCAAACAACGGAGCCAUCAAAUACCCUCAUCUGUCUCAUGUGCUACUCAAUACGGUCCAUGCGCGCAUGAGCGUCGCCAACAAUAGUGGCCUGGAUGACUGCGGGCGGAACAACCUCAGAAUGACUGUGUAGCACAUAAGGUGAAGCUUGAGGCACCGAAGGAACAGGUGGUGGCGGUGGAGGUGGCAACGAGUCAUGCAGCGUCUCAUCCUAAACUAUGGGCGGUCUACUUUGCUGACUGCCUAUCUCCUGCCUAAGACUGGCCAAGGCCUCCUGAAUAGAAGCCAUGGUGGCCAUAAAUUGGUCAACUGUGACGACCUGCUGAUCCAUGUCUAAUAUCUCUGAAAAUCGGACUAAUCUCCCCUCUACUCUGACCCAAUGAGGUAAGUCUAGAUUGAUAAGAAAGGUCUGAUCCUGAAAGUCUCCUCAUUUGCUCUGAUCCACGAAGCUAUAUCCAGGCUGAGAACAAAGGUCUGAUCCUACAAAGCACGAAGAACGUAAUAAGGAUACGACUCAGAGAAAGCAUGGAAGAAGUGGUAAUCUGAACGGAAACAAGUAAGCAUCCAAGUGAAGACGGACUGUCCGACCGUACUCAAACUCGUCCUGAUCUCGAUACACUCUCAAUCGGAGACUAAAAAGAGGGAAAAUCGGAUCCAAAUUAUAGCUAUAGAGGCUCUGAAGGCCCUUAGAUGCACCCACGUGUAAGGAGGGAGUCCUAGUCGAAGGAUCUACGGCUCAACCUACAAGGUAGAAGUGACUUUAAGAGGAUAAGGGUGGACUUUAAAAAAUCCCUAGCAGAAGCGAUCAUACCUUCCGGCGGUAUGCAACCCUCUGUACGCCUCAAAAGAAACGGGACGCUUCCAUGCAAGGUGGUUAUCACCUCCACACAUGCACUACCUCGACAUCUUAGGGGGGUUUCCUAUGGUAGAACUUCUCAAACUCUCAACACUCAAUGGUCAACUAGAGUGCACAGUGUGCUGUGUGGGUGCAUCUGAAAACCCUAUGAAGCUAAAAUGAAAAGGGAGACACUGGCCGCACAAAUAUCCAUGAAAUCUAGCUCCGAGCUAAACAAGUCUUCAAUGAUCGGACUCCAAUCGUCAUCAAUGUGUCGCUCUCUUCCAGAAUACUCCCAAACAUCGGUAUAGCCUGUCGCUGGACCCUACUCCUAACCUUUAGCUCAGUCAGAAUACAAGCACACACAAGGCCUCACACUUGCAAAAGUGAGAACCAAAAUAAAGGAAAUGACCGAAACCAGAGGGUGGGAGGUAAGAGGAUAAAUGUGCUACCCACACAAACAAGUGACAUGCAAUCAUGCAGAGAAGGGCAGUCAUGCGACAUGUAAUCAGGCAGAGUACAGGAUAUAUCACUCAUGUGCACAUACAAGCUAUGACAAUAAAAUGAAUAGUGAUAAAAACAGUAUGCUCAAGGAUGAUCAAGAUAAUAUACAAACAAAUGGAUCAACGUGUCGAGUCAAAUAAUAUACAGUGGCAAGUGUAUGCAUGUGAGGUGAUCAGGGUAAUCAUGGCAAAAUCAGAGUAUAUAUGCUAAGCAAUACAAGAUGAUCAAUCAGUAUAAUCAACAAUGUCGAUGUCUCAAACAAUAUAGCAAUGAAUCACAAAAGGAAUAGCUAUCUCAGAAUCCUCAAUCAAGACAAAUCAGUCAUCAUAAUCAGCAUAUCAACAUCUCAAACGGAUACAAUAUACGAGCAUGCAUAAAAAACUCUCAAUGUGCAAUCAAGAGAUGGGCAUCCAUUGAUCGGCCAAUCAAAUGCCACGUUCGCUUCAUCCUAGGUUCAAGCUUGACCCUCUAAAUCUUCCCCAGUGGAGUCGCUAUUUUAUGGACCCCGCAUUUCAACUCAUGCGUUCCCUACUUGGUGGCGAAACUCACUUUUAAUUUUAUUCGGUGAAAAUUUGAUUUUUGGGGAAAAGACUUGGAGUCGCCAUUUUGUGAACCCCGCAUUUCGACUCAUGCGUUCCCCACUCGGUGGAGAAACUCACUUUUAAUUUUAUUCUGUGAAAAUUUGAUUUUUGGGGAAAAGACUUAGAGUCGCCACUUACUUUUGUUUUAUUUUUAAAAGGGAAAACAAAAUAAGAAAGAAAACCUUGAGUGUGACUCCUCAUUUUGGAAAAGAUGGUCUUGGAAAAACCGGAUCGGGCUCGGGGGUCAGAUUACUUAUCGGGAAGGUAUGGUAAAGACCGUAGCACCCUUCUAAGUCCCUAAAGUCAGGUCUCUACUAAUAGAAUGAAGCCAACAUGGCAAUCAAUAAGAAAGUCAAUGGAUACCUAAGUCAAAUCAUGCACAUAUGGGAAUCGAAACAUGCAUAGAGAAUGAUCCGAAUGAAAGUGUAUGCGUACUUGGGUCACGAGCCACAAUGCGCUGUAUCUGCUCCUCUUAGUGCGAUCUUCUCCGUGCGUUUUUCCCUAUCCCUUCACUAGCUCUCUCUGGUAUCAUUUUUCCUCUUUUUUUUUAGCUUGCUCUCUAAGCCAACGAAAACCUCACUCUGUCACCUUUCACUCAGUCGUCCUCCCUAUCCCAUCUUGUCACCCCAUGCCGCCUUCAUUUCGGGUUCGUCAAAAGAGUAAUCAUAAUAAAAUGGCCAAAUUUCUCAUCUCUCAGGAAGGGGUCUACAAUAUGCCAUAUUUAUCAUCUAAAUUAUGUACUUUUUUGAAUAGUAAUUACAUGUUACACUAGGUAGAAUCAUGUUAACAUAUUAAAUGGAUUAGAAUUGUGUUAAUUGGUUUAAUGAAUGUUAAUAGGUUUAAUAGGUUAGAAUCAAAUUAACGGGGGUUACCUAUAUCAAUUCAUAUAGAGGUCAACUUAACCUAUUUAUUAAAUUAGUUAUGUUUAUAUCAAGUCAUUUUAACAUGAUGUUUAAACAAAUCAUAUUCCAAUUGAGUAAACUUUCACUAGUUUUUAUCUUGAUACAAUACAAAUCUAACAUAAUAUGACCCAUUGUCACCCUAGUUAAGGAGCAUAAGAGUGUUGCAUCAAGGAAGUGGAAGAAAAGCAUAGUGAUAUAAAACUUUAGGGAGUGGAAGCAUUUAAUCAAGUAAAGUUGUGUAACUUUUUUUUUUUUUCAUAAGUAGUGGAUUAUUCAAUUGUCAAGAGACCAACCAUAGUUUUUUUUUUUAUACCUAGGGAUUUCUAGGUGCUUUCCACAUUAAACUCUAUGUCAAAUUGUGUAAUCGGAAAUCUCAUGCAUGAGAUUGAUAAGAUAUUGAUGAUAAUUGAGUUGGAAUAAAAUAAUUUAACUUUGAGGGGUUAAUUGCUUGGAUUACCUAUUUACCCCUCCUUCAAGAAGUUCCAUAUCAAGAAAAAAAUUAUUUCAACAUAUAUAUAGAUAUUUUAUAUUUUCUAAUUUUAAAUUAAUUUUUAUGUUGGGAAAUUGAAUGAGGGAAUAGUUGGCUCAAUUUUUCAAGCUUGGCAAAAAAAUUUGUUGUUAACAUGUUAUUUUACCUUAUUUUAUACAUUUUUUUUGGAAUAAAAAUAUAUAAUCAACUACUCUUGUAUGAUUGAUUUAGAUGUUAGAAAAGGUUACAACCAUUAAUUCUAUUAAUUGACCAACAAUUUUUUAUAAACUUUAAGUUGCUAGCAUUCAUAUAUUAUCCUAAAAUUAUUAAUUAUAAUUUUAUUUAAGUUGAACCACAAAUCUUGGGUAAAUGAUGAAGUAUUUGUUAACAAGAUACUUGUUUAAUUAUAUUGGAAGUUUUUAGUUUGAUUUGUUGUUGUUGAAUUCAAAUUCCUAGAAGCUAGCUUUGAGGACUAGAUAGUUGUCUUGGUUUUUGUUAUAAGUUUGAUUUUUAUAUUGUUUUCAAACAUGAUGUGUAAAAUGUUAAUGGUAAUGAUGUUGAAACAUAGCUAAUGCUACUAGAAGAAUGUUGUAAAGAGUGCCUUUGGUGAGUUGGAUCGGGGGGGAAAGCUCCAUGACAAGCUCCAUUUAUUACAAAGGAUUCCUUCACAAACUCUCUUUGUAUGUUAUUAAGUUGUGAGUAGAAUUAUUGAAGUUGUAUAAACAAGUGGCAAUCUUGAUACGUCAUAAUGACACCAUUCGAAAAUUAUAUAAAUCUUAGCAGGUCUAAAGGUAUUUGUAAAACACAUUUGUAUUGCCUAAUUAUGGUCUUAUUGGAGAAUGAGUUAUUAUCAAUUUCAUGGAACAAAACUUUCAUUAGUCAAUAUUAUUUGAAGGUGAAAUCUUACUCAUAAAAUUUUUCAAUUAAAUUUAAAAGUUAAAAUUAUAAAGUAGAGAGUUAAAAUAACCAUUGAGCAUAGUUUAAAAUUUGAAUAUAAUGUGUUUAUUAUUGUAAUUCAAGCCCAAUAUUUAUUAUUUAUUAUUAAAAAUAUAAUUUAUAUUUAAGAUAAUUUAGCACAUUUGAACAAUGCUUUGAGAAUAAGAUUGGAGCAUCUAAUUUGACUAAUUGGAUAGCAAAUCAAACUAAUCCAAUCUUAUUUUUCAUAUUUUUCCACCUUCAAUUUUAAGAUAAAUAUGAACAAAAGUCUUUAUAUGAUUAUAACAAUAUAAACAAUAUAAACACUAAAAUAAUUAGUUUAACAUUAAAUAACAAAAAUCUUAUUUUAGUCUUCGACAUAUUGCUAUAUAAGUUAAAUAUAUAUGUUAGUAAAAUAAGAAAUAUUAAUAUAUUUAAAAUAUUAAAUAAUAAAAUCACAUUUUUUUGUUAUUAUUAAUAUUUAAUUAAUACAUUCUAAUUAAAUCUAAAAUAAAAACUUUACACAAAUUAGUAUAAAACCAAAUAUGAUCACCAUAAACCAACCUCAAUUAAAAAUACUUAAAUAUAUAAAAGUCAAAGUAAAUAAAUGAGAAAUAAUGCUAAAAGAUAUAUAUAUAUAUAUAUAUAUAUAUAUAUAUAUAUAUAUAUAUAUAUAUAUAUAUAUAUAUAUAUUAUUUUUAACUCCAUAUAUUAUUUUAAAUUUUAAUAAUAUAUGAAUUAUAUAUGCAUAUUGCCUUGCUGAUAUCAUGUUUCAAUUACUUGAACCAUCAGUUCAAUUAAGAAAGUUUAAUGCAAUAAUUUUUCGAUUCAAUAAUUAAUUAAUAAGAUUUUCAAAAUAUUGUAUUUGAAAACUCAUCACAAAAAAUGAAUAAAAAAGAUCAUGAAAUUCUUGCAAAGAAAACUUACUUCAUGAAAAUAUGGAAACCCCAAACCUUAAUUUCUUCAAUAAUAUGAAUCAAAAUUCUUAUAUUUAGGCAUCUUAGGAGAGAACCAAUAAUCUCAUCCACAAAUCAAGCAUAGUCAAUAGGCAAUUCUUAUGUUUAGGAGUAAUAUAUACAUACAUACAUAUAUAUACUGUGUAUAGAUGAUGUAUCUUUUGGAAAGUCAUGUAUAUAUUUAAAUGUUGUAAUGUAUAUCUUGCAUAAUAUAGUUUGACCAUUCAUCUAUUCAUUCAUUCAUCUUAUACUCUUGGAAAGAAAAGUAACUUCAUGAAAAUAUGGAAAUCUCAAACCUUAAUUUCUUCAAUGAUGCUUAUUAAAAUUUUUGCAAUAAAAAGUUGUGUAAUUGAGGACACUAAUGAUGCAAGGUUACAACUAGUCACUCCUAACCAGACUUAUUCUUAUACAUAUUUCCAUCUUCAUCUCAAGUCUGGGAGUCUACCUUUCCAUUUUAAGAAAAUUAAUUAUUCUUUUUAUUUUACAUGUAUUGAAAAAAGUAAAAGAAAAAAUAAGAUUGAGCAAUAUGAACCAAUCAAUCUUGACAUAUAUGUGAGAAGAUAAUUUAAAAGUGUAUUUGAUAGUGUUUAAUUUUGAAGUGUUUUUAAUUUUAAUAAAAGUAUUUUCUUUAGAAGUGAUUUUGAGAUAAUUACCUAUUAAAAGUGCAUUUGAUAAUGAUUUUAAAAUAGUGUUUUUAGUUUUUUAAUACUUGAAAAAUAAAAAUUUUCAAAUAUUAAAAAGAAUAAAAAUAUUUCCUAAAAUUAUUGUUAGACGCACUUUAAAACCCCGUUUAGCAGUGAUUUUAGGAAGUGUUUCUAAACUUUUUAGUACUUUAAAAUUUGUAUUAUUUAAGUGUUAGAAAUACUAGAAACGUUUUCUAAAAUCACCAUAAAAUGUAUUCUAAGAGUGUGUGUGAUAGUGAUCCUUGGAAAUGUUUUUAACAUUUUUAAUACUUAAAUGAUAAUAAUUUUCAAAUGUUAAAAGGUUAUAAACACUUCUUAAAAUUACUAUAAAACGGGUUCUAAGUGUUUCUUCAAAAAACACCACAAAUGAUUUUUUUAUCUGUUUAAAAGUGUUUUCUAAAUUUUAUUAAAUACUUAUUUUUCUCCAAAAAUAUUUUUUAAGGUAGAAGUGCUUUUUUAAAAAUAAUAUCAAAUGGACGUGUAAGUCUUAAAAUAAAAUCCCUUGAUUUAAUUAUACUUUUCAAAUCCAUCCUAUAAGCCUAAGCAUUCUUGAAAUACCCACCCCUGUUAUAAUACAAAAGCAAACCACCACUAAGGAUAUUUAAACAACAUUUUAAAGACAAUCGGAACCUAUCAAUGAGACUUUGUCUCAUAAUACAAAUUUCGUUAUGUUCACAUGUAGAAAGGGACAAAUAAUACAUAAAAACUAAAAAUCAUAUACAAUAGAAAGCUUGGAAUCAAGAGGGAAGAGAGCAAAGUUACGAAGUGGUGGAGCCUUGGUAAAAUAAAAUUAACAACGGCAUUUUCAUGUGCGUGUCUCAUCGCUGGAUGGACCGAAUUUUGCUUCUCCCAAAACUCUUUAAAUAUUGGGAGAAUUGUGUUUUGGCCCAAUUGUCCCAAAAAUUAAUAUUUGGUCCUCCAAUCAUCCAUAAUUGAUAAUAAGGAUAUGAGAUAGUAAUUGACAAAAAUACCCGCUUGACUCAUUUUUGUCUUUAUUCUACUACUUGUCACUAUUCUUUCUUAUUUAACUAUUUUUGGAUUUUCAUUUUUUUAAAACUCUUUUAUAAAUAAUUGAAAAUUUAAUAUUAUUUUUAUUUUUAAAUUAUAAAUAAAAAAAAAUUAUAUUAAUGAUUCAAAGACUAUUUAGGAAAAUACUUUCUAAAAAAAUAUUAAUUUAAAUAAAUAAAAAUUAUCUUUUACAUUUAUUUUUAUAGUUUACAUUUUAGAAGUAAAUAAUUUAAUGAUUAAAAUACCAUUUAAAAUAAAUAUAUUUACUAUUUUAAUUUUUUUUAUACUAAAAAGUAUUUUAAAGUUUUUUUUUUUUACUAUUAUAAAAUAAAAAGUUCAUUUUUUUUUUAAUCUUCUUUCUUCCUUAUUUUAAUAACUUUUUGAACAUGACUUUUAGUAAUAAGUUAUAUGGAAUGCUACAAAUUUGUUUAUUAAGGAUUUUUUUUUAAUGAUUUGAAUUAAUUGAAAAUUUAUUAAAAUAAGAAAAAGAAAAAUAAAGAAAGAGGAUUGAUGGAGAGUUUUUAUUUUAAGUACUCGAUUAAAAGAGGAUGGACGUAGAGUUUUUAUUUUAAGUAUUCAAUUAAAAUGUUUUCAUAUGACCUACUUUUAGAAGUGGAUUAUAUCAAUACAUAGUAGAGAUUGAAUUUUUUUUUUUAUAUAUAAAAGGGUUGAAAGGUAUAUUUACUUGUUUUAGAUGAAAACAAGUAACUAAAAAUUAUAUAGAUCAUAUUUGAGUUUGGUUUUAAAAUAUUUUUCUAGUUUUUAUUUUAAUUUAUUUUUAUUUUCUAUAUUGUCUCUUUUUGAAAAUAUGUUAAUUAAAAAAUGAAAACUAUUUUUAAAAAUGAAAAUUGAAAACCUUGUUUGGUAAUUUUUUUUUAUAUAAAAAAAAUUAUUUAUUAAUUUAUUGUGUCAUUGUACAAUUGUAUUACAAUAACUGUACUAAAGACGUACAAGACUACCAUUUAUGAAAUAUUAUAAUAGAUUAUGAGUCAUUCCUUUGUUUUUCUACAUGGACACAUAACUUAAGAGGGAUAUGAAAUUUGUGUCAUUGUACAAGGGUAUUACACUAACUGUACAAAGGAAAUGUACUAAUUGUACAAAGGUGUACAAAAUCAUCUUUUGUGAAUUAUUUUAAUAAAUUCUAAACCACUUUUUUUUUCCUUGUCACCCAAGGAUUGUAUGCCUAUGUCAUGCAUUUUAUUUAACUCUCAUAUGAGAAUUCUAAUAUUUUCCCUAAUAAUGAUAUUUGGGGAAAAAAUUGACCCUAAGUCCUCUACCAUUUUCUUAACCAAACAAUUGAAAAUAUGAUUAAUACACCUACAUAAACAUAUAAGUUAUGACAAAUAUGAAAUUUGUGUCAUUGUACAAGGAUAUUACACUAAUUGUACAAGGGAAAUGUGCUAAGUGUACAAGGCUCCUAAUAGGUUUUGUACGAUUGUUAAACAACUUGAAUUUGAUAUUAAGACGAUUAUUGAUAGUUUUUUUUUUCUUUUUUUUAUCAAACUAUUUCAUUUAGACAUUCCCUACAAAAAUUAACACAUAGGAAAUAAAAUUAAAAUCAAUCAUGUUUGAAUUGUUCAUUAUAAGUAAACUAAAUGAAAUAUACAUUUUUACUAUUUUUCCUUUAUAAACAUAAUUUCUUUGUUAUCAAUAGAGAUUAAAAAAAAUCAUAUUUAAAUGGAAUUAAAAAUAAACAAAAAUUAUUUUUAUAACAUUUUUAUUUUUUAAAAUCAUUAAUUUAAAUUAUGAAAUUAGUUUUAAAAUUAAAAAUACUUGUUGUAAUUAUAGUUUUGAAGAUUUCAUGAUUUUUAUCUUAUUACUUUGAAAAAAUUGUUUUAAUAAGAAAGUAUUUAUUUUAAUUAUUUUAAAUAUUUAAAUCUUUAUUAAAAAAUAUUUAGAAUUGGUGUGGAGAGCAAUUAGAUAAUUUUGGAAAGGAGAAAUUUUGAAUAUUUUGAAGAAUUUAAUUCGGCAAAUUACCAUAUUUACACUUUUUAAAAUAUUUUGGAAUGGAGAAAUUUUGAAUAUUUUGAGAGCAUAGUUCAAAGAAUUGAAAGAUUUUAAUCAAUUUUAGACAAUAGUUUUUUUUUUUGUCUUGUCAUCUAAGGAUUGCACACUCUUAAGGUACACAUUCCUCUAUUACACACUCAUCUUAUGCACUUUAUUUAACUCGCACAUGAUAAUUCAAAUACUUAUCCCACUAAUGAUGUUUGAAAGAAAAUUUUGUUUUUCCAUUUUCCACUAUUUUUUGAAACAAACCAAUGAAAACAUGGUUAACCUACCUAUGGUUAUACAUUGAGUAGCAGGUAUAUGGAAUUUGAGUCACUGUACAAGGUAUUUACACUAAGUGUACAUGAAAAAUUUACUAACUGUACAAGAGUGUACAAGAUUAUUAUUUGUGAAGGAUUUUAAGUGAUUCUGAAAAAUUUGUUUGUUUAUUUCCCCUAACCGAGGAUAAAUGACAUUCAUUACACACAUUAAUUAAGCAUACAUUCAUCUCAUGCGCUUUAUCUAAUUUGUAUAUGGUUAUUUGAAUAGGUACCUCACUUAUGAUGAUUGUAAAACAAAAUUCUACAACAAUUUUUCUUCUUUUUUAAAACCAAACCAAUGCAAACAUGGUUAACUGACCUAUUGUCAGAUAUUCAUGAGAUAAUCUAUGAAAUUUAAGUUAUUGUACAAGGGUAUUACACUAACUGUACAAGACAAAUUUACUAAUUGUACAAGGGUGUACAAGAUUACUUUUUGUUAAGGAUUUCAAGUGAUUUUGAAAAACUUUCAUAUUUUUUUCCACUCAAAGAUUUUUUUCCCCACUCAAAUUCUCUCACUCAAGAAUUGUUUCGAAUUUUAUUUUUAAAUUUCAUCAUCAAAAUUUUGUAAUUGCAUAUUUUGUUUUUGUAGUUUUAGCAAUGUUCUUUCUUUUCACUUUUUUUUUUUUUUUUUUUUUUUUUGUGAAAUUUUAUCGAAAUGAAUCUAGAUUUAAAAUUAUAAUCAUAUUUAUCAAUUUUUUUUACUAAGAUUAUCUUUAAUUCUUUUAAUAUAUUUAUACUCAUUUAUUUAAAAAAGGAAAAACUAAUUUUUUUUUUUUUUUUUUGUAAACAUAUUCUAUUACCUUUCAAGUAAAAAAUUAGAUAAGUUUGAAAGUCAACAAAAAAAAAUUAAAUACCACUUUCAAUAAUUUUUAGAUAAAAUUUUAUAUAAUAUAUUUUAUUUGAAAUUUAAUUUUUAAAGUUUAACUAAAAAAUUAUAUUGACAAUUUUCUAGUUAUGAGUCAAAAUACUUUGCAUUAGUAUAUCUAUAUAAGAAAAAUUAUUAAUAUAAUAUUAUAACCUCAUAUCUUAGUUAUUUUUUUUCAAUAAAUUUAUCUUUUUAAAAAUUUUAAAAUAAAAACAUUAAAAAUUAAAAAGCUAAAAAGAUAUAUAUAUAUAUAUAUAUAUAUAUAUAUAUAUAUAUAUAUAUAUAUAUAUAUAUAUAUAAUAAAGUGAAGUGAUAGUUAAUUUUAAUUUUUUUUUAAAUAUGGUUAAUGUAGAAAAUAUAAAAAUAAUUAAAAAUAAGAGAAAAAUAUAAAUGAAAGGGUAAUAUAAUUUUAAAAUAAAUAAUAAUAAUUAAACUAAAAGAUAAAUAUAAAAAGAUAAAAAAUAUUUGGAUGAAAAAUCCCAAAAUUUUUAUCAUUGCUUUUAAUAAGAGCAAAAAGAUUGAAUAUCUUUAAAAAUGAAAAAUAAAAAAAUAUUAUUACUUUUUAUUUGACAUAAAAUAGAAAUAUAUAUUGGAAUAAAAAGAAAAAAAAAGUUAGAAAUGAGUAAUACUUAAUAGGGAAUAGAAAAGGAAAAAAAACAUAAAAAAAAUUGAAAUUCACACUCACUUGUAGACAUAUAAGGGAUAAGGGUAUUUUAGGAAUUAAUGAAAGACAAUAUCCUUCAUCUUAAUUUUCAUACUUUGUUUGAGUCUUGGGUUUAAAUAUGCAUGAUAUAUGGACUAAAUGUUAAUUUUUGAUCCCAGCUGGCCCAAAAUACAAUUCUCCCUUAAAUAUUAUAAUUAGAGCCCACUUGAUGCUUAGAAAAAUACAUUUGCAAGUGAUCUCCAUCUGUCAAUCAAUUAAUCUAUACAAUAUUAAAAAUUCACUUCUUGUUGAUUUAGCAAAAUCACUUUGUUGGGGGUGGCCUGUCUCCGAUGUUACUCAAGUUUCAACUCUGGACUUUUCAAAUUAACAAAGUGCAGUGAUUCAUCUUUCUUCUUUGUUCCAUUUUUGGCUGAAUUGUAAUCCUUUUGUCUGUAACUUACGGAAAGCUAUGGAGUUUCUGAGCUCGAUCGUGGGUCUGGUCCCCUGCUUCUAUGAUCACACCUCCAAGCAUACGGUCUACAUUCGUGAUCUGAGAAAAAAUCUCCAAGCCUUGAGGAAAGAAAUGGUGGAUCUGAACAACUUGUACGAAGAUAUGAAGGCAAGGGUUGAACGUGCAGAGCAACAAGAGAUGAAGCGCAGAAAGGAAGUGGGUGGGCGGAUCUGUGAAGUAGAAGACAUGGAGAAAGAAGUUCACGAAAUUCUGCAAAGAGGAGAUCAAGAAAUCCAGAAGAGUUGUCUAGGAUGCUGUCCCAGGAAUUGUUGGUCUAGCUACAGGAUUGGAAAGGCGGUAAGUGAAAAGCUGGUUGCUGUAUCUGGUCAAAUCGGCAAAGGACAUUUCGAUGUUGUAGCCGAGAUGUUGCCUCGUCCUCCAGUUGAUGAACUGCCCAUGGAGGCGACUGUGGGCCCACAAUUGGCAUAUGAAAAGAGCUGUAGGUUUCUCAAAGAUCCACAAGUGGGAAUUAUGGGAUUGUAUGGAAUGGGGGGUGUUGGCAAAACCACCCUCUUGAAGAAAAUCAACAAUGAAUUCCUCACAACAUCCAAUGACUUUGAGGUCGUGAUUUGGGCUGUGGUGUCAAAAUCGCCCGACAUUGAAAAAAUUCAGCAAGUUAUUUGGAAUAAAUUGGAAAUCCCACGUGAUAAAUGGGAAACUAGAAGCAGUAGGGAGGAGAAGGCUGCAGAAAUAUUGAGAGUUUUGAAAAGAAAAAGGUUCAUCUUGUUGUUGGAUGACAUUUGGGAGGGACUUGAUCUCCUAGAAAUGGGGGUCCCGCGUCCAGAUACUGAAAAUAAGUCCAAGAUAGUUUUGACGACCCGAUCACAGGAUGUCUGCCACCAAAUGAAAGCUCAGAAGAGUAUAGAAGUGGAAUGUUUGGAGUCAGAAGAUGCCUGGACUUUGUUCCGGAAGGAGGUAGGAGAAGAAAUAUUAAAUUCUCAUCCGGAUAUACCGAUGCUUGCAAAGGUUGUUGCUGAAGAGUGCAGAGGUUUACCUCUCGCUCUUGUCACUCUUGGGCGGGCCAUGGCAGCUGAGAAAGAUCCCUCAAACUGGGACAAGGUAAUACAAGAUCUACGCAAAUCUCCAGCUGAAAUCACAGGUAUGGAAGAUAAAUUGUUUCAUCGAUUGAAACUCAGUUAUGAUAGGUUGCCUGACAAUGCCAGCAAAUCUUGUUUUAUAUAUCAUUCCAUCUUCCGAGAGGACUGGGAGAUUUAUAAUUAUCAACUUAUAGAACUUUGGAUAGGGGAGGGGUUCUUGGGUGAAGUUCACGACAUACAUGAAGCACGGGAUCAAGGGAAGAAAAUUAUUAAUACUUUAAAGCAUGCAUGUUUAUUGGAGAGCUGUGGUUCGAAAGAAUAUAGGGUUAAGAUACAUGAUGUGAUCCGUGACAUGGCUUUAUGGUUAUAUGGUGAACAUGGGGUGAAAAAGAACAAAAUUCUAGUAUACAAUAAAGUUGCUAGGCUUGAUGAAGAUCAAGAAACUUCCAAAUUGAGAGAAACAGAGAAGAUAUCAUUAUGGGAUAUGGAUGUUGGGAAGUUCCCAGAAACAUUGGUGUGCCCCAAUCUUAAGACUUUAUUUGUGAAAAAAUGUCAUAAUUUGAAGAAAUUUCCAAAUGGAUUCUUUCAAUUCAUGCUUCUACUUAGAGUUCUGGAUUUGUCAGACAAUGAUAAUUUAAGCGAGUUGCCAACUGGGAUUGGUAAAUUGGGUGCCUUGAGGUAUCUUAAUUUGUCAUACACAAGAAUAAGGGAGUUGCCCAUUGAACUAAAGAAUUUGAAAAAUCUGAUGAUUUUGAUUAUGGAUGGUAUGAAAUCCCUUGAAAUUAUUCCACAAGAUAUGAUAUCAAGCCUUAUAUCCUUGAAGUUGUUCUCCAUUUAUGAAUCCAAUAUUACAAGUGGAGUUGAAGAAACUGUACUGGAGGAGUUGGAGUCCUUGAAUGACAUCAGUGAGAUAUCAAUCAUCAUAUGCAAUGCUCUUUCAUUCAACAAACUAAAGAGUAGUCAUAAAUUACAAAGGUGCAUAUGUCAUCUAUAUUUACAUAAAUGGGGGGAUGUGAUCUCACUUGAACUGCCUUCUUCAUUUUUUAAAAGAACGGAGCAUUUGCAGCAGCUUAAUAUAAGCCAUUGCAAUAAAUUGAAAGAAGUGAAAAUUAAUGUGGAAAGAGAAGGGAUACACAAUGGUAUGACUCUUCCAAACAAAAUUGCAGCAAGGGAGGAAUACUUCCACACCCUUCAUCGUGUGGUUAUAAUUCAUUGUUCAAAAUUGUUAGACUUAACAUGGCUUGUUUAUGCUCCAUAUCUUGAAGGACUUUACGUUGAAGAUUGUGAAUCAAUAGAAGAAGUGAUACGUGAUGAUAGUGAAGUCUGUGAAAUUAAGGAAAAAUUGGACAUAUUCUCAAGGCUCAAACACCUCGAGCUCAAUAGGCUGCCAAGAUUGAAGAGCAUCUACCAGCAUCCACUACUCUUUCCCUCUCUUGAAAUCAUCAAGGUGUGUGAAUGCAAAGGUUUGAGGAGCCUCCCAUUUGAUUCCAACACUUCAAAUAAUAGUCUAAAGAAAAUUAAAGGAGAGACAAGUUGGUGGAAUCAGUUGAAGUGGAAAGAUGAAACUAUCAAGCACUCUUUUACUCCAUAUUUCCAAAUCCGUGAAGCUGAAGCAUAUUCAACAGACACUGGCAGCAUAGAUGAUAUGCAGGAACAACCAGUAUCAAAUUAACUUCUAUCAAUCUUUCAGGUAUUAAUUAACUUUUAUACUAUAUUUGGAAAACCCUUUUCUUUCCUUAAUCCCAUUCUUUUGUGGAAUUUUUUACUCUAUCUAUGCCAAAGUGCAUCAAAGUCUCAACAUCAAAAUAACUUUCAAUGUUUGAUCUAUCAAGUUUGCCCCUUUUGAAGUAACUGUUAUAAAGUUUGCCCAGAAGGGACUUUGAAGGAGGUCUUUUAUUUAAACAUCUAAUGACAUUUCCUUUUGGUUACUUGAGAACUUGAAAAUAUGCAAAGUUCUCAACUAUAUUAUUUAUCAUGUCUUAAUUUUUUCGAUUCAUUUCAAUCUAUAAACAGAAAGAGAGAAUACCUAAUUUCAACUUAAUUCCUUAUAUUUCAAGUUGAACCAACAGGUGUUUCACAACUGUAGGUAAAGAUAUUCCAUUAAGAAUUCUCGCUUUGUUUAAUGUAUUUACCAGGACCAACCAUAUGUAAAUUCUCUUCUUUUGUUGAGUUGCCUCUAUCUGGUUGAUUCUCAGUUGGUUUUUUUUUUCUUUUCUUUUUUCUAUUGCAUUCAGAGUUGGGGCUUGUUCUAGAAGUUCUGACAACAGCUGGGAUUCAAUUAGCUCUCUCUAGUGGAGCCUUGAGUUUUUUGGUUGGUUGCAGAGUAGGGUCUUGUUCUACCCGUCCUUACUCAGUUGGGAUCUGAGCUUCUUCGGCUGCUUCCGUUUCGUCUUGCUCUUUUUCCUUCUAAUUAGUAUAGACGUGAGCUGGAUUAUGUUUGCUUGCUGGUCUGAGUUUCUGAUAUGUUUUGUGGCGGUGUGCUGAUUCUCAGAGUAUCGUUAUUCAUGGUGCUCAGUCUGCUGGGAAAGUUGGUUAAUGUCCAGAUGCAGGGGCUCAUCUCAGCAGGCUUUGGUUGGGAUCCAUGUGUUUGCUGGAAUUGGAUUCUGUGGGUUGCCGUUGGAUUUUGAUGUAGGCCGGGUUUGUUUUCUUUGUUGAGGCUGGUGGAGUAUGGUGGCUCAGAAGCUGCUAGUAAUCUGUCUGUUGUAUGCUGACGCUGGAAUCUUCAUGGUGGUUGCUCUGGUGGGUCAAUAUGAUAUGGGAAUGCUUUUGCCUUUUGAGUCCUUGGGCGUCAGCUGGUUGCUUGUGUUUCCUCUGCGCUUUAGUUCACAUACCAGAGUGCAUACUUCCUUGAGUUCCAUAUCCCACUGCCAAGUGUGUUGUCCAUGAUGUAAUGUAAAGUAGUUAAUUUGUAUACUUGGCCUUCAGUUCCCUUCUAGAAAACUUUGAACGCCCUUUAUGAAUGAAAUGUUGUGAGAAAAACUGGAGUUGAUUUUCACAUUUGAGGUCGUUAAUGGUGAUUUUUCUUAAUGUAAUUGUGAUUGAAAAGAAAUUUGAUCAAGGAGUUGAAACUAUAAGCAGAGUCGAUCUUAUUCAACAUUGCAUUAUAAUUUGGUACCCCUCACAGAUCGCUCCAAAUAUCAUUGAAAAGUACUUUCAUUUUCCUUCAGUGGAGGCUUCUUUUUCUUUGCUGGUUAAUAUUCAUAGCUUCAGUGCUUGAUGAAAUUUCGUUACUUUACAUUGUUCACUCUUGUCCCUCCUGCUCUAAUCACAAACAAAUGCUCCAAUAAAUAAGAAUGAUUUGUUCAAGAAAUUUGAAGAUACUUGAACGAUAAAAGAAAAGAAUAGGAGAGAAAGGAAAAGAAAUUCAGAAAGCAAACACUUGGUAGUUUCCAUUUCAAUUAACCGAUCUUUGAAACUAAAAUGUAAUUCUUGGUAGAAUAAAAGAAGACAUGCAACAUCUUAAGAAGAUUCAUCUAAUGGAACAUACAAUGCUACAAUUGGAAACUGAGACUAAACAGUAGUUUUUGGUAGAAUGGAUAUCGCAUGACAAAAAGAAAGUUUUGUAGCUUUGACUGCUUCAAAAUUCUUGUACGUAUAGCCCACAAACCUUUCGAGAUCAUACUUGUUUCUUUAGGCCUAUGAACAUACGGCUCUCACGGAAGAUCUUAUAACUUUAGAAGUUCAUAGUGUCCAUAAAAUCAGAGGAAAAGAAAAGGAUGUAUAGCCAAGUUCAUGAAAAAUAAAGAGAUGGUUUAUUUAAAGUUCACAAGUCUGGGACAUCUAAAACACUUUAAUUGUGUUUGGUUAAGCCUCCAUUUAUGGGGCAAUUCCCAUCAAGUCUAAUGAUUGACCAUCGAUGACUUGAAAAUCGAAGCAUUGGAUGUGCCGCAUGUAGUUGAUGUUGCAUUAUCGAGGGUUGUUAUAUUAUAAAAAGGCAUGAUAAGAUCACGAGUUAUUGACAAAUUACCCGAUCCUAACUUGUCUCAUUUAUAUUAAUUUAUUCUCGUCCAUAUCGUUACAAAAAAUUUUAAAUGAGGAAGGAUGGAUAUGAGAAUUUGUCAUACCUGCCUUAUACCAUUUAUUUAUUUAUUUAGUUUUUUAACAAUUAAAAAUAAACACAUUUUAUAAAUAAAUAAAUAUUAUAAAUUUUAUAACUUAUUUUAUUUAAAAACAUAUAUAUAUUUUAAUUAUUUUAUGUGUUCAAAAGAAGAAAAUGAAAAAACAAUUAAUUAAAUUAUUUUUAAAUUUAGUUAUACAGGUUGGAAAGUGGUGGGUUAGUACAAGGCAUAUCUUGAACCCUGCCCCUAACCAACCCUAGUUUUAAAACAAAAAAAUGUUAAAUACGUAUCUAAUCAGUUUAUCUUCAUUUAAAUAUGUCUUAUUAAAGGUAAGUAUUUGAAAAAACUUGUCUCAUUAUUAUCCUUAAUCAUAAUUUUUUUUAAUUUAAAUUUAUAUACCAACAAACAGUUAAAUUAAAUUAAAAAUUCUUAUGCAAACAAGGGCGAAAAAUUGUGUACCUUCCUUGACAUUCUAGAUCCAGUUUUUGCUGUUUUUGGAGGAUCCACUUGAGGAACAAUUUAAAUUUAUUCACAAAUACAAUUAUUCAAAAAGGCAUUGUACUGAACACAAGCAAAAUAACUACAAAUGUUAAUAGAAAUGGAUGGAAGCAUACAGGUGUAGAGAAUAUAAAAAAGGAUUUUGAAGCCAAAAAUAAAAAAUCAAAAUCAAAAUAAAUAAAAGUAUAUGGUGGUUUAUUAUUGCUCAGGCCUAAUAAUUGAUUGUACAUGUCAAUGGGCCUAAUAUUAUUGCUCUGGCCUUUAUUCUAGAUGUCCAGACCCUGUCACUGCCUGAGUGUGAGGUCAUGGCUCGUUCUCUGUAUAGGUAGGUUCAUACACCUCUAAAACUUGAGUUGGUGGACUACCUUUCCCAGUUCUGAUCUUUCAGAUUCUUUCAUGGGCUUGAGUUGUAGCAUGAGCUUCCCGUUCUCCCCUACCCUGGUCCUAUAGUACUAUUUUUUUUUUUAAACUUGGCCCUAGAUUUUUUUUAGUAUAAAAAGUACUAUUUUGUUGAAUUUAAAAAAAACUCACAGGGAACAUAACCUUUCAAUAAUCCUUUAACCUCUAUCUCUCAAAACUUUCAAAAUCCAUCUUGAAAGUCUCUCUUGACUAAAACAAAUAUUUGAGACUGGCGUUGUAUAUGCUUUAAUAAGGGCUUUGAGGGACUUGCUAAAGAUAUUGAUGACAAUUUUGAGACGAUAAAAUAACACGACUUGAAAAUGAUAUAAAAUUUAAUAGAUUCAGAUUAGGUAUAACAUAUUUAUGUUGUAAUCAUAUCAACUCAUACGACCCGUUUAAUAAAAUGUACGAUUAUCCAACCCCAUAUAGCUUGUUUACUAAUUCAUGCCAAACAAACCAAUUUAUUUAAUCGUAUCAAAAUAAUGUUUAACUCAUAUAAAAUUAUUAAUAUUAUAUAUUUUAAAUUUAUAAAAAAAAAUGCUUAUUAGUUAUAAAUAUGAUAUAGUUAAAAAAUGAAGUAACUAAGUAAAAUUUUAUACAUUUCAUUCUAAAGAUUAAAAUUAUUUUAUCAUUAGAACAUUAGAUAGAAUUAUAAACAAGCCUAAAAUUAAAAUUUUAAUGUAUUUUUAUAUUAUAAACAAUUUCUAAUUUAAAUGUUAUAAUUAAAUUAGUUAAAAUUUUUAAAACUUAAAAUGUAUUUUGAACAAUAGAUUUAUAAAAUUAAAAUUUUAAAUAGGUUAAACAUGUUAAAAUCGUAUUAACAUGUUAAACGAGUUAGAAUCAUAUUAAGCUAACCAUGUUAGAAUUGUAUUAGUAUGUUACACAAGUUCAAAUCGUGUUGACAUAUUAAACGAAUUAGAAUCAUGUUAAUGGGUUUAACGACUAUUAAUAGGUUUCAUAUGUUAGAAUUGUAAUAACAGGUUAUCUAUGUCAAUUUAUACAAAGGUUAACUUAACCUAUCUAUUAAAUUAGUUUUGUUUGAAUUAGGUUAUUUUAACACAAUUCUUAAAUAAAUUGUAUUCCUAUCGAGUAAAUUUUCACUAUUUGUAUCUCAACAUUAUACAAAUCCAACACGUAUAAUAUUACAUAUUGUCACCCCUAACUAAGGAGCAUAUGAGUGUUGCAUCGAGGAAGCAGAAGAGUAUAAAGACUAUUUAUAUAAAAUUUUAGGAAGUAGAAGCAUUCGAUCAAGUAAAGUUGUGUUAACUUUUUUUCAUAGUUAGUGGAUUAUUCAAUAGUCAAGAGACCAACUGUGGUUUUUUACGCCUAAGGAUUUUUAGGUGGGUUCCACAUUAAAUUCUAUAUCUAAUUGUAUAAUUAGAAAUAUCGUGCAUGAGAUUGAUAACAUAUUAGUCAUAAUUGAAUCGGAAUAAAAUAAUUUAUCUUUGGGGUUAAUUGAUUGAACUACCUAUGUAUAUAUAUUUUAUAUUUUCUAACUUUAAAUUAAUUAUUAUGUUGGGAAAUGGAAUAAGGGAAUAGUUGGCUCCAUUUUCAAUCUUGGUAACAUAAUUUGUUGUUGACAUGUUAUUUUAUCUUAUUUGAUAUAUUUUGUAGGAUAAAAAUAUAUAAUCAAGUGCUCUUGUAUGAUUGAUUUAAAUGUUAGAAAAUGUUUUACAAAACAUUAAUUCUAUUUGACUGAUGACAAAAACUUUUAAUUGCCCAACAAUUUUUUAUAAACUUUAAGUUGCUAGCAUUCAUGUGUUAUCAUAAAGUUAUUAAUUAUUUUAUCUAAGUUGAACCAAAAUUCUUGGGUAAAUGAAGAAGUAUUUAUUGACAUACUUGUUUAUAUUAGAAGUUUUUAGUUUGAUUUGUUGUUAAAUUCAAAUUCUUAGUAGCUAGCUUUGAAUACUAGCUAAUUGCAUUGGUUUUUGUUGUAAGUUUGAUUUUUACAUUGUUUUUAGGCAUGAUGUUUAUUAAUUGAAAAUGCUAAUGAUUCGAGAUUAGAAUCAGUCACUCCUUACUAAACUUAUUUUUUUAGGCUAUGUUUGGUAGACCAAAUAUAAUAUAUAAUAGAAUAAGAGAAAAUAUAUUAUAUCAUGUCUCAUCUUUAGUUGAUGAUGAGAUAUGAUAAGUUAUUUCAUUGCUUAUUAUAUCAUAUGUUUAACCAAAUAUGAGAUAUAAGAAGUGAUGAGAUAUAUUAGUCACUCUUUUUUUUUUAAUCUCUUAUACAUAAAAUAUGUCAAUCUCAUACUAAGAUAUAAGAAAUGUAUAUUUCAUAUAUCAUAAAUUUAUUUUUUAUCAAUUUUUUUAUAUAUUUAUUUUGUAAAAUAAUUUUUUUAUUAUAAAAUUAAAUUUAUAGUUAAAAAAAACUAAAAAAAUAUUUAUAAAUAAUAUUAAUAUAUGAUAUAUAGAUUACUUUUAUAUAUUAAAUAACAUAAUAUAAACAUUUUUUAUUUGUAAAAUUUAAAUAUUUUAAUCAUGACUAUUUUUAAACAUAAAAGAAAUUUCAUUUUUUUAAAUGGAAAAUAUUGAAAUGUGAUAUAAUUUUUAUUUUAAACAUUGAAAAUAAUAUAUAUAUCAUAUUAUUUUUAUUCAUUUCAUAAAUUAAAUAUAAAUAUAAUAUAAUAUAUCUCAUUAGAUAUGUCACAUUAGAAUAUCAUAUUCAUAAGAUAUAUAUAUUUAAGGAUAUCAUAUCCUAUUAAAAAUCAUAUUUUAGGAUAUCAUUCUUUUUACCACAAGAGACUUAAACCCAAGUCUAUUUUUAUACCCCUUGAACAAUUACAAGGUUGAACCAUUGGGCUAAGGGCAAUAAUUGCUUUUAAUCGGUAAAAUUUGUAUGUAUACUAUAGUUGCACUGCCUAAUGUAAAGUGUUGGCUCCGCCACUAAGUUGCACCUCAAGCCACCACCAAGUCUCCACAUGAUGCCCUUGUAAGCCUGGAUUAUAACAUUACCUUGGUCAAUAGGCACUUAUGGGUACAUGCUGCAACCCCACGAGACCUUGGUGCCACAUUCUCCAAGUCAAGGUGUUAAUACUCUUCUAUGCUCACAAACUUAAUUUGGUCACCAUUUAUUAACUUAUAAGUCUCUAUAACCAUAAAUAAAAUUUCAAACAUAUUAUUAGAACAAGGCUCUAUAUUUUGGGUUUUGAUAUCCAAUGAGAUAUUAAAUUUUAAGAUAUAUAUAUUUUAUCAAAUUAUAUCCCACCAAUGAAAUGUAAUCUUAGCUUAAAUUUAUUCUCAUUUUUAUUUCUCAUUUUUAUCCAAAAUCCAGGAAUUUACUUUUCUGUUUUAAGGUAAUUCAUUUUAAAUUUUAUUUUAUGUGUAUUAAAAAAAUAAAAGAAAAAAUAAGGAGUGACAUCAAUCAUUAUAAAGCCUGAAUCAAUCCCAAACAUGCAUAAGAAGAUGAUUUAAGUCUUAAAAUAAAAUCCCAAACCUACUUCUGACUAGACUACACGUUUUGAGUCUCCUAUUGGGCCUGGGCAUCCUUGAAAUACCCACCCCCAAUUAUAAUACAAAAGCAAACCGUCGGUAGGGAGAUUUAAACAACAUUUCAAAGACAAAUGAAACCUAUCAAUGCGACUUUGUCUCAUGUUCACAUGUAGAAAGGGACAAAUAAUACAUAAAAACUAAACAUCAUAUACAAUAGCAAUUGUGGAAUAAAGAGGGAAGAGAGUAGGAAGUUACGAAGUGAUGGAGCCUUGGGUAAAAUAAAAUUAACAAUGGCAUUAUCAUGUGCGUGUCUCAACGCUUGAUGGGUUAUAAUUAGAGCCCACUUGAUGCUUAGAAAAAUAUUUUUGCAUGUGGUCUCCAUCUCUCAAUCGAUUAAUCUAUACAAUAUUAAAAAUCCACUUGAUCUUAAUUUAGGAAAAUUAUUUUGUUUUGUUGGUGAUGGCCUGUCUCCCAUCUUAUUCAAGUGUCAACUCUGGACUUUUCAAAUUUACGAAGUGCAGUGUUAAAUCCUUUAUAUGAUGAUAGGAUAUUCUUAGAAAAAGCAAAAUGUAAUAGCAUCUCCUUUAUUUAUUUUUUUUCUUUCAAAAAAAAUGUUAUAAAUUGUACAAGUUACAUGCAUAAUUCAAAAUUAUCAAUAAAAAUUCAAUUCAAUGCCACCAUGACCAAUCAGGAUUGUUCAACGAAUAAUGUAAAGUAUAAUAUAGUGGUGAUGAAUGCAAGCAUAAACCACUGUGGAGCCAAGAUUCACGGGGCAUCAUUGGAGGAGAAAAUUAAAGAAAUGGUGGAGGGUGGUGUAUGCAUAGAAUUAUCAUGGGCACAGUGCGGGGGGCCCAUCUCUUUCCCAAAAGGAAGACAGAAUAAUUGAGCGACCCAGCUUAUGAUAUGAUAUUGCAUCAGGUUAACUUCACCCCAGUCUCAGCCUCUUUGAAUUACCAAACCCUAUUCUCUUCUCUCUUUACUGCUAAUCCUCAUCUCUUUUCCUCUUACUGUGCUCUCCUGAAACUUUUGUAGAUGGUGGCAUAGCUACCUAUACUGAAGUUUUAACUCCGGAGUUUUUGAUUGACAAGGGCAGUGAUUCAUCUGCUCCCUGUACUGCAAACUAUCCCCUCUUUCUUCUAUCUUUGGCUCAACUUCAGUCCUUUUUUCCUUUGAUUUCCCGAAAGCUAUGGAGUUCCUGAGCUCAAUCGUGGGUCUGAUCCCCUGUUUCUAUGAUCACACCUCCGAGCAUACGGUCUACAUUCGUGAUCUGAAAAAAAAUCUCCAAGCCUUGAGCAAGGAAAUGGCGGAGCUCAACAACUUGUAUGAAGAUGUGAAGGCAAGGGUUGAAGGUGCAGAGCAACGACAGAUGAUGCGCAGAAAGGAAGUGGGUGGCUGGAUCUGUGAAGUAGAAGUCAUGGUGACGGAAGUUCAAGAAAUUCUGCAAAAGGGUAAUCAAGAAAUCCAGAAGAGAUGUCUCGGAUGCUGUCCUAGGAAUUGUUGGUCAAGCUACAAGAUUGGGAAGGCAGUAAGCGAAAAGCUGGUUGCUGUAUCUGGUCAAAUCGGCAAAGGACAUUUCGAUGUUGUAGCCGAGAUGCUGCCUCGUCCUCUAGUAGAUGAGCUGCCCAUGGAGGAGACUGUGGGCUCAGAAUUGGCGUAUGGCAGAAUCUGUGGGUUUCUCAAAGAUCCACAAGUGGGAAUUAUGGGAUUAUAUGGAAUGGGGGGUGUGGGCAAAACCACCCUCUUGAAGAAAAUCAACAAUGACUUCCUCAUUACAUCCAGCGAUUUUGAUGUUGUAAUUUGGGAUGUAGUGUCAAAACCGCCCAGCAUUGAAAAAAUUCAGGAAGUUAUUUGGAAUAAAUUACAAAUCCCACGUGAUAUAUGGGAAAUUAAAAGCACUAAGGAGCAGAAGGCUGCAGAAAUAUCGAGAGUUCUGAAAACAAAGAAGUUCGUGUUGUUGUUGGAUGACAUUUGGGAGAGACUUGAUCUGCUAGAAAUGGGGGUCCCGCAUCCCGAUGCUCAAAAUAAAUCCAAGAUAAUUUUCACGACCCGGUCACAAGACGUGUGCCACCGAAUGAAAGCUCAGAAGAGCAUAGAAGUGACGUGUUUGUCAUCAGAAGCAGCUUGGACUUUGUUUCAGAAGGAGGUAGGAGAAGAAACAUUGAAGUCUCAUCCACAUAUACCGAGGCUUGCAAAGACUGUUGCUGAAGAGUGCAAAGGUUUACCUCUCGCUUUGAUUACUCUAGGGCGAGCCAUGGUGGCUGAGAAAGAUCCCUCAAAUUGGGACAAGGUAAUACAAGUUUUGAGCAAAUUUCCAGCUAAAAUUUCAGGUAUGGAAGAUGAAUUGUUUCAUAGAUUAAAAGUCAGUUAUGAUAGAUUGUCUGACAAUGCCAUCAAAUCUUGUUUUAUAUAUUGUUCCUUAUUCUCUGAAGAUUGGGAGAUUUCAAAGGAAGUCCUUAUAGAAUAUUGGAUAGGAGAGGGAUUUUUGGGUGAAGUUCAUGACAUACAUGAAGCACGUAAUCAAGGGCAUGAAAUUGUUAAAAAAUUAAAGCAUGCAUGUUUAUUGGAGAGUUGCGGCUCGAGAGAACAAAGGGUUAAGAUGCAUGAUGUGAUCCAUGACAUGGCUUUAUGGUUAUAUUGUGAAUGUGGGGAGAAGAAGAACAAAAUUUUAGUAUACAAUGAUGUUUCUAGGUUGAAGGUAGCUCAAGAAAUUCCAGAAUUGAAAGAGACAGAGAAGAUGUCAUUAUGGGAUCAAAAUGUUGAAGAGUUCCCUAAAACAUUGGUGUGUCCCAAUCUUCAGACUUUAAAUGUAACUGGUGAUAAGUUGAAGAAAUUUCCAAGUGGAUUCUUUCAAUUUAUGCCUCUAAUAAGAGUUUUGGAUUUGUCAAAUAAUGAUAAUUUCAAUGAGUUGCCUACUGGAAUUGGUAAAUUGGGCACCUUGAGAUAUCUUAAUUUGUCAUCCACAAAAAUAAGAGAGUUGCCUAUUGAACUUUCAAAUUUGAAAAACCUAAUGACUUUGCUUUUGGCGGAUAUGGAAUCCUCUGAAUUAAUUAUUCCGCAAGAAUUGAUAUCAAGUCUUAUAUCUUUAAAGUUGUUCAACAUGAGCAAUACCAAUGUCUUAAGUGGAGUUGAAGAAAGCUUGCUAGAUGAGUUGGAGUCCUUGAAUGGCAUCAGUGAGAUAAGUAUCACCAUGUCUACUACUCUUUCAUUCAACAAAUUAAAGACUAGUCACAAAUUGCAAAGGUGCAUAAGUCAAUUCCAGUUGCAUAAAUGUGGAGAUAUGAUCUCACUUGAACUAUCGUCUUCGUUUUUGAAAAAAAUGGAGCAUUUGCAACGGCUUGAUAUAUCUAAUUGCGAUGAAUUAAAAGACAUAGAAAUGAAAGUGGAAGGAGAAGGGACACAAAGUGACGCAACUCUCAGAAACUACAUUGUUGUAAGGGAGAACUACUUUCACACCCUUCGUCACGUAUAUAUUAUUCUUUGUCCAAAAUUGUUGAACAUAACAUGGCUUGUUUGUGCUCCAUAUCUUGAGGAACUUAGCAUUGAAGAUUGUGAAUCAAUAGAACAAUUGAUAUGUUAUGGAGUAGAGGAAAAAUUGGACAUAUUCUCAAGGCUCAAAUACCUCAAGCUCGAUAGGCUGCCAAGAUUGAAGAACAUCUACCAGCAUCCGCUGCUCUUUCCCUCACUUGAAAUCAUCAAGGUGUAUGAUUGCAAACUCUUAAGGAGCCUCCCAUUCGAUUCCAACACUUCAAACAACAAUCUUAAGAAAAUUAAAGGAGAGACAAGCUGGUGGAAUCAGUUGAAAUGGAAAGAUGAAACUAUCAAGGACUCUUUUAUUCCAUAUUUCCAAGUCCAUGAAGCUGAAGCAUAUUUUGCAGAGGAGUCUGAAACUAGCAGCAUAGAUGAUAGGCAAGAACAGCUGAUAUCAAAUUAAUUUCUAUCCAUCUUUCAGGUAUUAAUUAACUUUGAUUUUAUAUUUGAAAAAUAAUCUUCUUUCCUUACUCUCAUUCUUUUGUGGAAAUUUUUACUUUCCCUACCUCAAAAGUGCAUUAAAAUUUCAAACAUCAUAAUAACUUUCAAUGUUUGAUCUGUAUGGAUUACUUCCAUAAUUUUCAGCCUAAUCCUAAUAACUUUCAAUCUAUUUUUUCCCCUUUUAUAUUCUUUCUCUUCUAUGUUGCUUUGAAUCUUGCAAGAUCCAAACAAAGCUAAAUCUACACCCAUUUCUAUAUCAUGGUCCACCCCUUCCAAAAUCUUGGAUGGGUAAUUCAAUUCUAGUUGUCCCUUGUGAAAUAAUUGUUAUAAAAGGUUUGCCCAGAUGGCACUUUGAAAGAGGUCUGUAGUUUAAAAAUGGGAUGACAUUCCCUUUUGGUUACUUGAGAACUUGAAAAUAAUGCAGAUUUUUAAACUAUAUUAUAUAUUUGUCCUAAUUUUUUUAAUCGAUUUCAAUCUAUAAAUAGAAAUAGAUCAACUUCGAUAUAUUUCAAGCUGAACAACAGGGUUUCACAACUACUAUAGUUAUAGAUAUUCCAUUAAGAAUUAUUGCCUUGUUUGAUGUGUUUACCAGGAUCAACUUCAGUUGCAAGGGUAAUUUCUCUUCUCUUGUUAAGUUACCUCUAUCUGGUUCGCUCUGAUCGGUUUUUGCUUUUCUUUUUCUUUUUUUCAUUUCUCUUUUUGUUGCAUUCAGGGUUGGUGCUUGUUCUAGCAGUUAAGGCAACAACCGGGUUUUGAUCUUCUUUAUAUAGACUGUGUUGCUGCUGUUUUUGCUGAUUGGAGAUGUCCUGCUCUUUUUCCUUCUACUUGGCAUCUGGGUUUAGUCUGAGGUCUCUAGUAUGUUUUAUCAGGGAGGCGUAAAUGCUGAUUCUCAUAGCAUUGAUCUUUCAUGCUGCUGAGACUGCUGGGAAGGUUGGUGUACUUAUGAUGGUCGCAACAUCCUUUUUGUUUCUGGAUCUCAGGAAUUGGAUUCCGUGGGCUGCCUUUGGCUUUUGAUGUGGGGUGGGUCUUGUUUUGUUGAUUUGUUGAGGCUGGUGCAGUGUGGUGGUGGGUUUGAAGCUGCUAGUAUGCUGCUGCUGGGUCAAUGUCGAUGAGAUAUGGAAAUGCUUUUGGCUCUUUGGGCUUCUGCUGGUUGAUUAUGUUUCCCCUGCUUACACAUGUAUUAUCACCAGAUCCUAUGUGAAGAUGGGAUGGAUUGUUUUAAUAAUGAUGGUGUGUGUGUGAUAUAAUCCCAUCAACAUAGCCACAUGCUUUGGUUCAUAUACCCGAGCACCACUUACUUCCUUGAGUUUGAUAUCCCACUGCCAAGUGUGUUGUCCAUAAUGUUGUAGGAAGAGUGUAAAUAAUUUUUAUUUUUAUUUUUGGGAAUUAUUUUUAAUUUAUUUUAUUUUAUUCUAUUAGUCUUAUAUUUUUGGAAAGUGUUCUAUUGAGAAUUAUUUUUUUUUUUUAUCAUUUUUUAUUUUAUUUUAUUAGUGUUAUAUUUUUGGAAAGAGUCCUAUUGGGAUUGUGUAAGUGGAGUCUCAUUCAUUUUAUAAGUAGAUUCCUCUUCCACUUUGUAGUUUCCUAUUAGGACUGUGUUAGUAACCUAUAAAAGCAGGUCACCUCUCUCUCUAUAUGAAUACCAAAUUUUCAGAGAGUUUUCAAAGAGUAUUUUCAUACAUCUAUUUGGAGGAAUUUAUUAAAAACCCGAGUUGUACAUAUAUCGCUUUCAGAGUGCAUCCAAGGUGAGAUUUGGUUGUUGAAUCCUGGAGUUAGACCACUGGUACCCUAGUGCACUGAGUUUGUCUUAGAGGAAGGUGGAUCUAUUUCAAAGACAGUGCUUGUCACGCCUCAGCUAAUAAGUUUUUCUUUUUACUCAUUUUGUUCUUUAUUUGUGUCUUUUGGGCUAGUCUUUUGUUUCCAUACCCUUAAAAUCCAACAAUCUUGAAAUAUAUCCAAAUGGAAGCUUCCCUAGUUCACACUUGUCCUGACACCUCUCAAAUUGAUAAUUUCAAUGGGACUUUCUUUUAGGAAAAGGGUUUUCUCUAAAAUUGAUGUGAUGAACUUGGGACACAUUUUGACUGACCCAAAACCAGAAGAUGGUUCUCAUCUGUUACCAACCUAGGAAACUGGAAAUAAACAAGUUAGGCAUGAUAUUUUGAGUAUCCUUUCUAAUGAACUUUUUGAUAUUUAAUGUCAAUUUAAAGUUGCAAAAGAAAUUUGGAAUGCAAUGAAUAAAAAAUAUAUUUUGGAAGAUGCAGAAACUCAGAAAUAUGCCAUAGGGAAUUUUAGAAAUUUUCAAAUGACUGAGGAUAGAGAUGUAUCAUCUCAAAUCCAUGACUACCACUUGAUGAUUAAUGACUUAGCUAUUGAAGACAUUAAAUUACCCGAACCUUUCGUGGCUGGUUAUUUAGUAGAGACUCUUCCAGAGUCUUGGAAAGACUAUAGAAAUAACGUGAAACAUAAAAGGAAACAAUUGUCCUUAAAGGAUGUCAUAAUCCAUAUUAGGAUUGAGGAACAAAACCGAAAUAGUGACAAUAUUGAGAAAACUAAGGAAUUGUCUUCUAAGGCUAAUGUAGUAGAAGAAAAACCUAAACCCAAAAACAAUAGGUCCAGGAAACAAAACUCUAGGACCAAGCCCAAUGCAUCAAACAAGGUUUAGAACUCAACUAUUAAAAAAUGGGGUAAUUGCUUUACCUGUGGCAAGUCUGGACACCAUGUAGCUUAAUAUCGCCACAGGAAGAGAACCGAGAAGUCCAAUUCAAAGGCAAAUCUGGAGACAAAGGUGAUCACAACAAUAAUCUUCUUUGAGGUGAGCAUGGUCACCAAUAUGAAGGACUAGGUGGUAGACUCUGGGGCUACUAGGCACAUAUGUGGGAAUAGAAGUGCAUUUACUUCCUAUACCACUACAAAGGAAGGAGAUGAACAAGUGUUCAUGGGUGAUUCUAGAUCUACUCCAGUGAUUAGAAAAGGGAAAGUUCUCCUCAAGCUAACCUCUGGAAAAUUGUUUGCCCUCUAUGAUGUUCUUCAUGUGCCAGAUAUCCGUUGGAACUUGGUGUCGGUAUCUAUGCUUGGAAAAGCAAGAGUGAGGAUCUUGUUUGACUCUGAUAAAAUAAUUUUAACCAAGAAUGAUGCAUUUGUGGGAAAUGGCUAUGUAAUCAAGGUUUAUUUAUGUUGAAUGUUUAGGAUAUUAUCAAUAAUAAUGCAUCUUUUUCUUUUGCUUACAUAGUUGAUUCUUGUGACAUUUAGCAUGGUAGACUAGGACAUGUGAACUUUUCAUUUAUGAAGAAAAUGGUUGAAUUGAGUUUAAUCCCUAAACCGUCCUUAGAAAACCAUGGAAAAUGUGAAUCUUGUGUAGAAUCUAAAAUCACAAAGGAAUUUUGCAAAUUAGUUGAAAGAGAAUCAGAUCUACUAAGUUUACUACAUAGUGACUUAGGAGACCUAAAAAAUAUAAUGACUAGAGGUGGUAAACAAUUCUACAUAACUUUCAUAGAUGACUACUCAAGGUAUACAAGGUUAUAUCUUUUGAGAAACAAAGAUGAAGCAAAAGAUGUUUUCAUCAAAUACAAAAAUGAAAUGGAAAAUAAACUAAGUAAGAAAAUUAAAAGACUUAGAACUGAUAGGGGAGGAGAGUAUGAGUCCAACCCCUUUAAUUCUUUUUGUGAAGAUCAUGGGAUCAUUCACAAAACUACUCCUCCUUAUUCCCCUGAGUCUAAUGAGUAGUAGAAAGGAAAAAUAAGACCUUAAAAGAAAUGAUGAAUGCAAUGUUGGUAAGUUCAGGAGCACCCUUGAACUUGUGGGGGAAAGUUAUCCUAUCCGCAUGUCAUAUUCAAAAUAGAAUACCUUACAAGAAAAUGGGUAAAACUCCUUAUGAGUUGUGGAAGGGUUAUGCACCUAAUAUAGCAUACCUAAAAGUGUGGUAGCUAAAGUUCUUCUCCCUGAACUUAAAAAACGAAAACUAGGUCCUAAAACCUUUGAUGCAAUGUUCAUUGGCUAUGCUGAGAAUAGUGUGGCAUAUAGGUUUCUUGUUACUAAGUCAGAAAACAAUCUUGUAAAUGUCAAUACUAUAAUAGAAACAAAGAAUGCAAAUUUCUUUCAAAACAUCUUUCCUAUGAAACUAAAUGGUGAACAAGUCUAGAAAACAAGUAGAUACAAGUCUAUUGAACCUUCUGAACUUGAACCUAGAAGAAGUAAAAGAGCUAGGAAAGAAACAAACCUUGGAAAUGGUUUCUACACCUUCCUAAUAGAUGAGGACCUUAAAUCCUACAAAGAAGCUAUAACUUCUCCUGAUGCACCAUUCUGGAAGGAGGCCAUUAACAGUGAAAUCGAUUCAAUCAUGUAUAACCAUAUAUGGGAGUUGGUAGAUUUACUUUCUGGUGCAAAGACUAUUGGUUGUACGUGGAUUUUUAAAAGAAAGUUAAAACAAGAUGGCUCUAUAGAGAAGUAUAAAGCUUGUUUAGUUGCCAAAGGCUUUAAACAAAGGAAAUAUGUAGAUUACUUUGACACCUUUGCCCCUAUGACUAGAAUAGCAUCAAUUAGAGUAUUGAUUGCUCUAGCUCCCGUUCAUAAGUUGGUGGUACACCAAAUGGAUGUCAAGACUGCAUUCUUAAAUGGGGAUUUGGAAAAGGAAAUUUAUAUGGAUCAACCUGAGGGUUGUGUAAUUCCAAGGAAGGAGAAAAAGGUGUGUAAAUUGGUUAAAUCACUAUAUGGGUUAAAACAAGCUCCUAAACAGUAGCACAACAAGUUUGAUCAUGUGUUAGUAACUAAUGUAUAUUCCAUUAAUAAUGCUGAUAAGUGUAUCUACAACAAGUAUGAGGAUAACACAUGUGCAGUCAUCUGCCUUUAUGUUAAUGACAUGCUGAUCUUUGGAACUAGCCUAAAGGUUGUGUGUGAGACCAAGAAAUUCGUAUGUUCUAAGUUUGAUAUGAAAGACCUAGGAGAGGCAGAGGUGAUUCUAGGAAUUAAAAUAACUAGAACACCUAAUGGGCUUAAACUUUCUUAAGAGCACUAUGUUGAGAAGAUCCUAAGGAAGUUUGAACACUUUGAUUGUAAACCAGUGUCAACUCCUUAUGAUCCCAUCUCACAGCUGAAGAAAAUAGAGAUAUGCUCAGAUCAUAGGGAGCCUAAUGUACUUAAUGAACUGUACCAAACUUGACAUUGCUUAUACAAUAGGUAAAUUGAGACAGUACACCCAAAGUCCUAAUCAAGACCAUUGGAUUGUUGUUCGUAGAGUCCUUAAGUAUUUGAGAGGCACCAUUAACUACGAUUUGUGCUUUAGUGGAUUUCCAAGUUUCCUUGAAGGAUUUAGUGAUGGAAAUUGUAUAUCGGAUUCAAAUGAGAUGAAAUCUAUUAGUGGAUAUGUUUUCAUCCUUGGUGGAAGUGCAGUUUCUUGGAAGUCUGCCAAGCAAACUUGCAUUACUCGGUCUACUAUGGAAGCUAAGUUUAUUGCCUUAGAAAAGACAAGUUCUGAGGUUGAGUGGCUUAGAAACCUCUUAGUAGAUAUCCCUUUAUGGACGAGACCAACCCCGUCUAUGUCUAUGCAUUGUGAUAGCCAAGCUACAAUUGCUAAGGCUAAGAGUAAAAUAUUAAAUGGGAAAAACAAACAUACGCCUAAGGCACAAUAUUGUGCGGCAGAGGCUUGAAACAAGGGUUAUAUCCCUAGAAUUUGUGAGGUCAAAGUUGAACUUGGCCUAUCCUUUGACCAAACCACUAAAUAAGAAACUAGUGGAAGAAACAUCGAGGGGAAUGAGACUUAUGCCUUUUACAGAAGUCAAGAGUGGUGGUAGCCCAACCUAUUAGAAUGGAAAUUCCAUGAAAUAGGUUCAUAUAGGUAAUAACAAAUCACUUGUUGACUUGAGGUGCUCUAUCAACUCUAAUUGUAUGAGAGUCCAUCCCUAUGGUGUAGAUAAAGUGUAUUCUGCAUUGACUAAGGUUGAGUGUUUACUCUUAAUGAAUAUCAUAUUCCUUAUGGAUGGUAUGUUUAAAUGCAGAACAUACUUGAUGGAUUCACCUAUAUGAGAGUAGAGGUGGGGCCGCUUCCUAUGAGAACUUAGGCAGGUUCUCUAGAGCUCUCAUGAAUAUCCAGGUAGGGUGCAUGGCCUAUUUGUGCCAACCCAUUUUGUACAACUCGUAGUGUAGUUGAGAAAACCAAUGUGGAUAAAAGUCUCUUGAGUUAUAUAAAGAAACACUGGUUCAUAGAAAUUUAUUUUCACCAUGUUUUGUGAUUCAAUACUUAUUUGUCCUAAGACUGGUUCAUAUUCUUUGGGCACUAGUACUGAUGCAUUGGAUUCUUUUUUCCUAAAAAAAAAAAACUAUGUUUACACUCUGUGGGGGAUUAUCGGAAGAGUGUAAAUAAUUUUUAUUUUUAUUUUUGGGAAUUAUUUUUAACUUAUUUUAUUUUAUUUUAUUCUAUUAGGCUUAUAUUUUUGGAAAGUGUUCUAUUGAGAAUUAUUUUUUAUUUUAUUAUAUUUUAUUUUAUUCUAUUAGUGUUAUAUUUUUGGGAAGAGUCCUACUAGGAUUGUGUAAGUGGAGUCUCAUUCCUUUUAUAAGUAGAUUCCUCUUCCACUUUGUAUAAUCUUCUAAUUACAAGUAGUUUCCUAUUAGGACUGUGUUAGUAGCCUAUAAAAGUAGGUCACUCCUCUCUCUAUUUGAAUACCAAAUUUUCAGAGAAUUUUCAGAGAGUUUUAGGGAGCAUUUUCAUACAUCUAUUUGGAGGAAUUUAUUAAAAACCCGAAUUGUACACAUCUCGCUUUCAAAGUGCACCCAAGGCGAGAUUUGGUUGUUGAAUCCUGGAGGUAAACCACUGGUACCCUAGUGCACCAAGUUCGUCUUUGAGAAGGGUGGAUCUAUUUCAAGGACAAUGUUUGUCACGCCUCAGCCGAUAAGUUUUUCUUUUUACUCAUUUUGUUCUUUAUUUGUGUCUUUUGGGCUAGUCUUUUGUUUCCAUACCCUUAAAAUCCAACAAAUGUUAUGUUGUGUAAACAAGUUUCACCCAUUGUGGAUUGAAAUGUUUAACAUUUGAGGUUGUUAAUGGUGAUUUUUCUUGUUAUAAUUGUUAUAAUUGUGAGAAAAACAUUGACAAUUAUGUCAUUUUUCAUUUGGGAGUAUUUAGAUCUCCAAACAGCAACUUGACUGAACAUGACCGCAAAAUUCAUCCACUACCACCACUUUCCUCCACCUGCAACUCUUCAAAUCCAACAUGUACGGCACGUAGGCUUCACCAAAGCUUUUGCAACCAAUCACUAACAACUUCCCCUCCCAUGUUGUCAUGUAAGCUGUGUGGCGAAUCUCAGCUAGCAUCUUGGCUACUGUCUGCCAUCAGGAGUUCUGCAGUGCCACCACCUUACCAGCAUGGCACAUGUACAUCCCCAUAUCACCACCGUCCACGCAGGUUCUCGGGCAUGUGCUGGCUUCCAGGAAAUCCUCCUCUACAUUGUCCCACUGCCAGUUGGCAAAAUCAAAGGCUUCUGCGCUCCUCUUGAACCUGCCUUGCAUCUCUAUGCAGUACCUGCCAAUGACAUGGAACUUACCACGGUGGAAAAACUAUUUGCAUUCAUCGCGCUCCCUUGCCAUGUCAUGAAGCGGGCCCACUCAUCAUUUGCCACGUCAUACACCAACGCAGGCCUCAAUUCGUCACACAUCAAAAUAAUCAAAAUUCAUAAUGCAACCUCCAAAAUACAUUUUAUCAUUUGCCUUCUCAUCCCCAAAAAUUCAAAAUAAAAAAUUCCACAUAAUCAAUACUUUAGUGACUAUUAUAUUUUUCAUGUUUUGGAUUUUAAUUCUUUUAAUUCAUUCUAUCUUCAUUAUUUAAGCCCAAGUUCUACUAUUAGUAAAAAUAAACUAAUAUAUAUAUAUAUAUAUAUAUAUGUAUGUAUACUUUGGUGACUUGCAUGGAGGUUAGCAACUGCACUACUCUAUCACAUGGCCCAUGAAAGAUAGGUAGAUGUGAUGAAUCGAUCAAGUUUUGGAAUCCUAGUCCUUGCUAAUGGGGGACAUAAGGCACAUGGAUGAUUUGGAAGAGAGGUGCUGAUGGGGUGCUUUCUACUGAGUCUCUCCUUGAGAAUCCAACUCUCUUUGCUAGAUUCCAGACUGUUGAAUGGGCUCUGGGUGGUGAAAAAGGCAAUUGAUGGGUCAAAGCCAAAUAAGCCUUUCCACCAUCACCACUAACAAAACCUACACCUUUGCAAUAUGGGCCACACUUUGCAGGCCACCUUUGGCAUGCAAUCCCACUUCCACAUUUCAUCCUUUUUAAUUCUUCAUAUUUUGAUAUCAAAGUUUAAUUUUCCAAAUUUUCAAUUUUCAAAUUUAAUUUCCAAAACUUCUAUUUUCAAAUAAUUGUCCAAAAUUCUGAUUUUCAAAUAAUUUUCAAAACUUCAAUUCCUUAAUUUAAUCUUCAAAACUCCAAUUUCUUUCAAAAUUAAUUUUCAAAACUCCAAUUCUUAAAUUUAAUUUUUAAAACUUCAAUUUUCAAUUAAUUUUCAAAACUCCAAUUCUUAAAUUUAAUUUUUUUAAACUCCAAUUUUCAAAACUCCGAUUUCUUUCAAAAUUAAUUUUCAAAACUCCAACUCUUAAAACUAAUUUUCAAAAUUCCAAUUCUCAAUUAAUUUUCAAAACUUCAAUUUCUUUCAAAUUUAAUUUCCAAAAUUCCAGUUCUUAAAUUUAAUUUUCAAAACUCUCAUUCUCAAAUAAUUUUUUAAAUUUUAAAUUUUUAAAUUUAAUUUUCGAGACUUCAAUUUUCAAAUAAAUUUUAAAACUAUAGUUUUCUUUCAAAUAGUUUUAAUUCCACUCCAAUUUUCAAUUAUUUUUUAAUUCUACAACAUUUCAUCCUUUAUUAGGGUUUUAGGUCAAAAAAUCUCGUUUUUAAUAAACUUGCUACAUUUCCCUUCAGGUAAGAACUUUUAUAAAUUUUCUUUGAUUUUUCAGAUAAUCUUUCGUUUCUCUUGAUUUUAAAUAAGCAUGAAGACAAUUUUCAUAAUUAAAAAACAAUGGAAUUUGUGGGAUUAAUUCAUGCAAAAAUCAAUCGAGCUUUGAUGGGGACCCAACAUUCAUAAGAUUUUUUUUGAAAAUAAUUCAAGUGAAUUGCAUAAUUGAUAUUGUUCGAUUUUGAUUGGUUUUGUGUGACAUGUUUUACACUUAUCAUUAUGCACUAACCCCGUUUCAUUGAUAGCACAUCUUUACUUGUUACUAAGGUACGAUCUCACUUCCACUUCACUUAUUCUCAUGCAUGAUUCAUUUUAUUAUUUGAUCAUUUUAUUGGUAUCCAUUGAUUUUCUUAUCCAUUGUCACACUUGCUUCACCUUAUUUGGUAGGGACCUGUUUUUAGGGACUUAGAGGGGUGCUAUGGUCUUUUUACUGUAUCUUCCCAAUAAGUAACUUGACCAUCGGACCCGACUUGAUUUUUCAGACCUGUUUUUUCAAAUAAGGAGUCACACUUAGGGUUUUCUUUCUUAUUUUGUUUUCCCUUUAAAAAUAAAACAAAAAUAAGUGGCGACUCCAAGUCUUUUCUAAAAAUCAUAUUUUUCACCAAAUAAAUAAAAAACGAGUUUUGUCAUCGAGUGGGAACACAUCGAGCAAAAAUACGGGUUCCACAACAUGCUUCCAAGCUUUGAAAAUGCUAAAGGAUUCAAGUAGAGAUGAAAAUGAGACAAGUUCAGGAUGAGUCAACCUCAUUCCAAUCCCACCCCAUUAAUUGAUAAUAUUUUUCAUCCUUGUUUCAUUAAAAAAAAAAAAAAUUAAAAGGGAUGGGAUAGAGCAAAUUGAAAAAUUUUCAAUUAUAUUAAAAUAAAAAUAUAUUUUAUAAAUAAUUAAAAUAUUAUCAUUUUUUAUAACUUAUUUUAAAAGUAUUUUACUAUUAUUAUAUAUAUUAAAAAUAGGAAAUAAAAAUUAAAUUAAAUGUUAAACUUAAUUUUAUAUAUAAUUGAAGUGAGACCUACGACACAAAAUAAUACUUGAACCCAUCCCAAACUCGUCUCGAAUUUAAAAAAAAAAAAAUUAAACUUAUCCAUUGUUUAUUUAAAUUUCAAACCUAUUUUAUUAAAAACGAGACAGGGAUGAGUGCUUGAAAAAAACUCAUCUCAUUGCCAUCCUUAAACUCAAGAAAUAAAAAUUUAAAUUCUAAAAGGAAAUGUCCAUUCUUAAUAUCAUCAUUGAAAACAAAUUACUUAAGCCUAUCAAACAUCCAAGUCAGCAGGAUUUAUUCCUAAGAAAAAAUGAUGCUCAAUUCUAGUUAUCGUGGAAUGAGCCACUUUCCCGGUAAAUGGAAAUUACCCAAUAUUUCAUUAAAGUGAAAUCUCUUAUCGAAAAGUUAAAAUUAAUUAGUAGAGAUUGAAACAGCCAUUAUUAUUCAUAGUUUAUAGCUCAAAUAUAAUGAGUCUAUUUCUGUAAUUGGAGGAAUGACCAAUUUACUAUUGAAAACCAAUUCAAAUAAUAGAUAUUCAAAUAUAAGCGCUUCAUUUAUUGUUUACUAUUGAAAAACCGAUAAUUCUAUAUAUCAUUGAAAAAUGCAAUUCAAUGCUUUCAUGUACAAUAUAAUAUAGUGCUGAUGAAGGCAAGCAUAAAAUCAUGGAGACAGGGUCUGGAGCCAAGACUAAAGGGGCAUCAAUACGCGUCUUUGUCAAGAAGGGAGAAAUCAAAGAAAUGGUGGAGCCUAUACAUUGAAUUAUUGACAGAAUUUUGUGGGGACCCAUAUCGAGAAAAAUAUUCUUUCAAUAUAUAUAUAGAUAUUUUAUAUUUUUUAAUUCUAAAUUAAUUUUUAUGUUGGGAAAUUGAUACGAGGGAAGAGUAGUUGUGAGUAGAAUUAUUAAAGUUGUAUAAACAAGUGGCAAUCUUGAUACGUGAGAAUGAUAAAAAUUAUACAAAUUUUAGCAAGUUUGGGUAAGGUAUCAUUAUAUUCGAGUAAUAAUCAUGUCAACUUGUAUAACUUAUUUAAAGUAUUUAAAGACAUUUAUGAGACGGAUUUGCAUUGUCUAAUUUUAGUUCUUAUUGAAGAACAAAUUACUAUCAAUUUCACGAGGACAAAAUUAUAAUUAGUCAAAUUAUUUGAAAGUGAAAUCUUAAAAAUAAAAACUUUCAAUUAAAUUCGAAAACUAAAACUAUUAAGUAAAGAGUUAAAAAACUAUCGAGCAGAGCUUAAAAUUCAAAUAUAAUGCAUUUAUUGUUGUAAUUCAAGCCAAAUAUUUAUUAUUGAUUAUUAUAAAUAUAAUUUUAUAUCCAUUUUUUAUAUUUAAGAUAAUUUAGCACAUUUGAACAAUAUUUUGAGAAUAAGAUUGGAGCAUCUAAUUUGACUAAUUGGAUAGCAAAUCAAACUAAUCAAAUCUUAUUUUCAUAUUUAUCCACCUUCAAUUCUAAGAUAAAUAUGAACAAAAGUCUUUAUAUGUUUAUAACAAUAUAAACAAUAUAAACACAAAAAUAAUGAGUAUAACAUUAAAUAACAAAAAAUUUAUUUCAGCCUUGGAUAUAUUAUUAUAUACGUUAUAUAUAUGUUAGUAAAAUUGGAAAUAUUAAUACAUUCAGUAUAUUAAAUAAUAAAAUUACAAGUUUUUUGUUAUUAUUCAUAUUUAAUUAAUAAAUUUUAAUUAAAUCUAAAAUAAAAACUUUUACACAAAUUAGUAUAAAACCAAGUGUGGUCAUUAUAAAUCAACCCUAUAAAAAAGACUUAAAUCUAUAGAAGUCUAAGUAAAUAAAUGAGAAAUAAUGUUAAAAGAUAUGUAUAAAAAAAAGAAUCAUUGUUUAGUAUCUUGAUUAUUUAUAUAAUUUUAACUUCGUGUAUUAUUUUAAAUUUUAAUAAUAUAUGAAUUAUAUAUGCAUAUUGUCAUGCUGAUAUCAUGUUUCAAUUACUUGAACCAUCGGUUCAAUAAAAUAAAAAACUCUAAUGUAAUAAUUUUUCAAUUUAGUGACUAAUUAAUAAGAUUUUCAUAAUAUCGUAUUUGAAAUUUCAACACAAAAAAUGAAUAUGAAAAAUCAUAAAACUCUUACAAAGAAAAGUGACUUCAUGAAAAUAUGGAAACCCUAAACCUUAAUUUCUUCAAUAAUGCCUAUCAAAAUUCUUAUGUUUAGGCAAUAUUAUGAGAGAACCAAUAAUCUCAUCCACAAAUCCAACAUAGUCAAUGGUCAAUUCUUAUGUUUACGAGAUAUAUAUACCUUGUAUAGUUUAUGUAUCUUUUGGAAAGUCAUGUAUAUAUUUAAAUGUUGUAAUGUAUAUCUUGAAUAAUAUACUUUUGACCAUUCAUUUAUUCAAUACUCUUGUAAAGAAAAAUGACUUUAUGAAAAUGUGGAAACCUCAAACCUCAAUUUCUUCUAUAAUGCUUAUUAAAAAUUUUGCAAUUGAAAGUUGUGUAAUCAAGGAAGCUAACAAUGCAAGGUUAGAACUAGCCACUCCUAACCAGACUUAUUCUUCUACAUAUGCCCAUCUUCAUCUCAAGUCAGUUUACUUUUCUAUUUUAAGAAAAUUAAUUAUUAUUUUUAUUUUCAUGUAUUGAAAAAAGUAAAAGAAAAAAUAAGAUUAAGCACUGUUAAACCUCAAUCAAUCUCGACAUAUAUGUGAGAAGAUAAUUUAAAAGUGUAUUUGACAAUAUUUUAUUUUGAAGUAUUUUUAAUUUUAAUAAAAGUAUUUUUUUUUAGAAAUGAUUUUGAGAUAAUUUUAAAAAAUGUUUUUAGUUUUUCUAAUACUUGAAAAAUAAAAAAAUUUAAGUGUUAAAAAUAUUAAAAAUAUUUCCUAAAAUCACUAUUAAAUGUACUUUAAGUGUUUCUUCAAAAAGUACCAUAAAUAAUAUUUCGUAUGUUUAAAAAUGUUUUCUGAAUUUUAUUAAAUACUUGAUUUUUCUUAAAAAAUAUUUUUUAAGCUAGAAGUGAUUUUUAAAAACACUAUUAAAUGGCCCCGUAAGUCUUAAAAUAAAAUCCGCAUAAGACUACUACAUGGACCUUCAAUGAGUCUUUGUCUCAUAAUAAAUAUUUUGUUAUGUUCACAUGUAGAAGGGACAAAUAAUACUUAAAAACUAAAAAUCAUAUACAAUAGAAAGUGUGGAAGCAAGAAGGAAUAGAGUAGAAGUUGCGAAGUGAUGGAGCCUUGGGUAAAAUAAAAUUAAUAACGGCAUUAUCAUGGGAGAAUUGUGUUUUGAGCUUAGCUGGUCCCAAAAAUUAAGUUCUAGUCCAUGUAACUUACCUAAUUAAUGGAAAGGAUAUCAAAUAUUAACAGACCAAUAUGCCCUUUACAUUUCCAACUCAAAUGGUUGUAAAUUAAUGGGUUUCACAGCAAUUAAACUUGAAAUGUCAUGUCACCUGAUUGAAAAUUAUGAAAUAAAGGCCAUAAGGGUCACCACCCUCCUACCCCUUUCUCUCUCUCCGUAAACAACAUACUCACAAACGAUGAUGACUGUGACUGCCCCCCAAUCGGUUUUUUCAGCAACCAAGGAUUGUGAGCAUUUUAGAAAAGCCUUUGUAGGUAUUUUAUCAUCAUCAUUCCCAAAUCCAAGGGAUGGGGGGUUUGAAUUAUUUUCUCACGUUUUGAUUUAAUCAGGUUGGUUCUUUGAUGAUGUGUUGGAUAUUUGUUUACUGGGUCAUUACAAGGUUUUAGGAAAGGCAAUUGUUUUGAUCUCGUGUUAGGGUGUUUAAAAAAAAUUUGAACUUAAUAACAUAGCGUUUUUGGAUGUAGGGUGGGGGAUAAAUGAGGUUUUGAUCAUAUCCAUCUUGGCUCAUAGGAAUGUAUCACAACAUAAAUAAAUUCAAGAAACUUACAGUGAAUCUUAUGGAAAAGAUCUCCUCAAAAAUGGCAUUUCACCUGUCUGAAAAAUUUUCACUUUAGCAUUUGCUUGUUGGGUUUAUCGUCCAAAGAGAAGAAAUGGGUAUCAUCCAAAUGCUGAGCUUUGGGGAAGAAGAUUCUCCGGUGAUGAUGCAAUUCAUCCAUAAUAGCUAUCCUUCGAAUCAAACAUAUUUCAAAAGCAGAGAAGUUGGUCCACCCGACGAAACGAAGAAAAUGAAUAACUCCAAUGAAGAUAUAAAGCGGCUACAAUUGUGGUCGUGAUGAUGGCAGUGGCCCAACAACCUCCUGUGAAUAUGGAAAUAUGCUAAAUAGGGUAUAUGCCCUAUUUUGGGGUAAGUAUAUUUUCUAGAAUUCGAACCUAGGUUGAUGGAGGAUUGAGUGUGUUUUUAUUAUGUUUAGGGAUGAAUUAUGACAUUUAUAUUUGUGAAAAUUAUUCUGCUAUGAUCCAAAGCACAACCCUAUUAAUUAUAUGAUUGAAACUCCUUUAUGUUUGAGUAGAAGAUUAAUAAUAUGAUUGAGAAAACAAAGGCUAUGCUUAAUUAAGAAAAACACUCAAAAGGGGGGGGGGAGGGGGGUGAAUUGGGUUUUUUAAAAUCUUUUCAACACAACAAUUUCAAGCACAAUAUAAACAAAAAUAAAGAAAUAGAGUUAUAGAAUUCAAACUCGGGUUUUAUAGUGGUUCGGCACUUCCUUGCCUACGUCCACUCUCCUUAAUCUCCUAACCGAGUGAGGCUUCCACUAACUUGAAGCUUCAACCAAGCUUCCAAUAUUCUUACACUUGGAUUCUGACUCCAAUGGGCUCUUACACAAUCUCUUCAAGAUUCAAACCUCUUGAAGGCUUUAACACUCAGUUUUUACAAGAAUGAAUCACUCAACCUAACUCAAAGAUAGCUCAAAUACAAAACAAAGAUAAGAUGACUCACAAGAGCGCACUAAAGGAUAUGCAAGUGAUGAUUUAAUGCAUUAAGAAGGAAAUGAGAGCUUUUUGGUUAAGAACAGGUAGGUAGAAAAUUGAAUUCAAGUGUUCUCUCUAUCGUAAAUGAAGCAGAGCUCUUAAUUUAUAGGUUUCUAAGCUCGGGAGCCAAAAACAGCAAAAGAUAGCCUUAAUCGAUUGAACUGAGGGUCGAUCGUAUCACUAGCCGUUGAGCAUUUAAUGCUUUGAUAGGUUACCGUUACCUCAAUCAAACCUCGACCGGACAUCAACUAGAGGUCGACCAGGAAUAGGAGAACCUCAAUCAGGAAGAGGAGGCUAUUGGAUGAGAGAGAGUGUUUUUGGCACCCCUUGACUGGACCUCGAUCGGACAAGGGCAACCAGUCGACCGGUUCCCCAACCGAUUGAGCCGGUUGGCCAUAGCCUAGACCGGUUCAGCCUUUUGGCCCCGAAAACCUACCUUUUUCAAUUCCUUUCUUUUCUAACUCUUAGGCAAGGUAUUUAGGUGAAUUAAUAUGCCAAUUUAAAACAUUUUGCCUAAGGUACAUUUGAUAAAACUCGGGUUUUAAUGAAAAUGAAAGUUUAAAUGAUAAACCGAGUUUUCAAAGAUGUAUGAAAUGGUAUGAAAAACUUAAGUGCACCCAUGCAUUCAUCUUACAUUCUUUUCCUAUUAUCAAAAGUCUUCCAAAAGUCUCGGUCUUGUAUCAAUUUGGUCAUUUGAUAAAUUUCUGAAUCUAUACCUAAGAUUCUUUACCAUUCAAAUCAAUUAGUCACUUAACCAUGGUUUGUUAUCAUCAAAACCCGAUUAGGAGAACCCUUGGGCUAACAAUAUGACUAGUAGUUAGGGAACAAAUUGAUACUUUAGUUUUUCCUUAUUUUAUGAACCAAAAGAUUGCAUACAUGAUUAACCUAUGCAUGAGCAGACAUUCAGUAGUGGUUGUGUGGAAGUUAUGUCUCUGUACAAGACAUUUACAUUAAGUGUACAAGGUACAUGUGCUUACUGUACAAGAGUGUACAAAGGUAACUAUGUUGAAGGAUUUGCAAUCCUUUUAAAAUCAUUUCCAUUUUGAAAGGAUGAAGAACAUUCUCUCACACAUUCCUUGAUCACACACUCAUCCCAUUCAAUUUUAUUACUUCAUACAUGUUCAUUGGAUGACCUACCACAGUAAUGAUGAAUAGGAACCUAUAUUGGGUUUCACUUCCCCCUUUUCCCUUAGGCAUUACAUUGGAACAUGGUAGCUCACCCAUAUGCACGCUUUUAGUUGUAGCUAUGUCAAAUUUUUGCCAUUGUAUAAGACAUUUACACUAAGAAUGUAAAUGUGCUAACUAUACAAGUGUGUACAAAGCUAUCUAUCUUGAAGGAUUUCAAAUGCUUUCGAAAAAAUUGUUUGCUCGUUUCUUUUUUCUAAGGGGGAUAUUCCACAUAGUCAUUCUUCAUUUCCCUUCGUACACAUUCAUUGUAUGAGCUAGCACACUUAUGAUGAAUAGAAACCUAAAUUAGGUUUCAUUUUCCCCAUUUUCACUCAGCCAUGACAUUAGAAUGUGGUUAACCCGCCCGUAUGCACUAGUUCAGUUGUAGGUAGGUCAAAUUUCUGCAAUUGUACAAGGCAUUUGCACCAAGUGUACAAGGCCAAUGUACUAAAUGUACAAAGGUGUACAAGGGUGUCUAUCUUAAGGGAUUUCGAGUGAUUUUGAAGAACUUACUUAUUUACUUUUUCUAAUCGUGGGAGACAUUCCUCACACGUAUUGCUUGAAAACACACUCAUUGCAUGCAUUUUAUUUGAUGUCUACCAUGUAACUUCAUUCUAUUAACUUCCCUAGUAAUUAUGAAUAUGAACCGAAAUGAGGGUAAACUUUUUUCUUCUUUUCUCUAAUCCAUGAGAAUGGAAACAUUGCUUACCCACCCAUUUGCACUCGUUCGGUUGUACCUAUGUGGGAUUUCAUGACUGUACAAGGCAUUUACACUAAGUGUACAAUGCAAAUGUGCUAACUAUACAAGUGUGUACAAGACUACCUAUCUUGAAGGAUUGUAAAUACUUCUGAAAAAAUUGUUUGCUCAUUUCUUUUUUCUAAGGGGGACAUUCCUUAUAGUCAUUCUUCAUUUUCCUUCGUACACAUUCAUUGUAUGACCUAGCGCACUUAUGAUAAAUAGGAACCUAAAUUGGGUUUCAUUUUCCUCCUUUUCACUCAACCAUGACAUUGGAAUGUGGCUAACCCGCCCAUAUGCACUAGUUCAAUUGUAGCUAGGCCGAAUUUUUGCAACUAUACAAGGUAUUUACACUAAGUGUACAAGGUCAAUGUACUAAAUGUAUUUUGGUUUUUUUUUUUUUUUUUUCAUAAUCAGCAAAGGCUAUUUUUGGAAAUAAUAAAAGUGCAUAUUCUCCUUCUCAAUUUUGACACUUCUUAAAGGUUUUGAGCUUAAAUAGUUUAGUUACAUGGACUAAAACACAAUUCUCCCCAUUAUCAUGUGUGUCUCAUUGUUGGAUGGACCAAAUUUCGCUUCUCCCAAAGAUCUUUGAAUAUUAUAAUGAGAGCCCACUUGAUGCUUCCAAAAAUAUAUUUGCAGGUGGACUCCAUCUGUCAAUCCAUUAACCUAUACAAUAUUAAAAAUCCACUUGAUGUUAUUUAGGAAAAUUAUUUUAUUUUGUUGGUGAUGGCCUGUCUUCCAUCUUACUCAAGUUUCAACUCUAAGACUUUUCAAAUUAACAAAGUGCAGUGCAGUGCAAUGAUUCAUUUUUCUUCUUUCCUCUAUCUUUGGCUCAACUUCAGUCCUUUUUUUCCUUUGAUUUCCCGGAAAGCUAUGGAGUUCCUGAGCUCAAUCGUGGGUCUGGUCCUCUGCUUCUAUGAUCACACCUCCAAGCAUACGGUCUACAUUUGCGAUCUGAAAAAAAAUCUCCAAGCCUUGAGCAAGGAAAUGGUGGAUCUCAACAACUUGUGUGAAGAUGUGAAGACAAGGGUUGAACGGGCAGAGCAACGACAGAUGAUGCGCACAAAGAAAGUGGGUGGGUGGAGACUGUGGGCUCAGAAUUCACGUAUGACAGAAUCUGUAGGUUUCUCAACGAUCAACAAGUGGGAAUUAUGGGAUUAUAUGGAAUGGGGGUGUGGGCAAAACCACCCUCUUGAAGAAAAUCAACAAUGACUUCCUCACUACAUCCAACGAUUUUGAUGUUGUGAUUUGGGUUGUGGUGUCAAAACCGUCCAACAUUGAAAAAAUUCAAGAAGUUAUUUGGAAUAAAUUACAAAUCCCACGUGAUAUAUGGGAAAUUAGAAGCAGUAAGGAGGAGAAGGCUGUAGAAAUAUUGAGAGUUCUGAAAACAAAGAAGUUCGUGUUGUUGUUGGAUGACAUCUGGGAGUGACUUGAUCCGCUAGAAAUGGGGGUCCUGCAUCCCGAUGCUCGAAAUAAGUCCAAGAUAGUUUUCACGACCCGGUCACAAGACGUGUGCCACCAAAUGAAAGCUCAUAAGAGCAUAGAAGUGGCGUGUUUGUCGUCGGAAGCGGCUUGGACUUUGUUCCAGAAGGAGAUAGGAGAAGAAACAUUGUCUCAUCCACAUAUACUGAGGCUUGCAAAAACUGUUGCUGAAGAGUGCAAAGGUUUACUGAUUCGUGCCCAAUUGGUGUAUCAGCUGAUUCAUGUCCAGCUGGUGCUCCUUGAUUGAGGGAGUAAUCAACAAAAUUUAUAACCUAUUACACCAUGAACUAGGGUAGCAAAGACAAAGCUACUAUAGCAUAGUGGCUCUAGGAUCGUUCACUAGGAAUGUUUUUCUUCAUAAGUAAUUUCCAUUAUUUCCUUUGUCGUUAGCUUAAACCUAAACCUUUUUCAAUCAAAGUUUGUGUUUUAUUUCUUAAGCUAACCUUGAAAUGAAAAAGCAUCAAUUCACUUUGAAUUGGUANNNNNNNNNNNNNNNNNNNNNNNNNNNNNNNNNNNNNNNNNNNNNNNNNNNNNNNNNNNNNNNNNNNNNNNNNNNNNNNNNNNNNNNNNNNNNNNNNNNNAUCAAAUAAAAUGCAUGCAAUGAGAGUGUAUCCAAGAAAUGAAAAAGCAUCAAUUCACUUUGAAUUGGUAUCAUUUAUGAAUUGAAAACUCUUCCCAGUGAACGAUCCUAUAGCCACUAUGCUAUAGUAGCUUUGUCUUUGCUACCCUAGUUCAUGGUGUAAUAGGUUAUAAAUUUUGUUGAUUACUCUCUCAAUCAAGGAGCACCAGCUGGACAUGUCUCCUCCCAACCAACAUAUUGCUAGUCCCUUAGCAAUGAAGGAGAGAAAAAUAAAAAUAAACAGUACUAUAAUUUACAACAUCAUGCUGAUCAAAAAAAAAAUUUCAAGUGGCAUGAUGAUCUAACUCUCACAUGGAACAUUAAAGAAAUAAAACUCAAACUUCAACAAGAGUUAUCAAAUAACUUAUCUAAUCACAAUUCUUAAAGAGAAGGCAUUAUGCAAAUUUAAGCUUUAAAAUCAUUUCCACUUCCAAAGGACCAACCCUUACUGUUCCACAAAAAUCUAAGUGUUACUUGAUAGCUUCCGAAUAUAGUAUGUUGAACUAAUCUCUCCCCCUAACCUAGUUCUUUUUCACAGCUUAGCAAACUGGUCAACCUCCAAUAGGCUAAGAAUGCACCUCUUUUCUCACAAUUUUUUUUUCAUUGUAGGAGUACAAGGCUUAAAGGUAUUUUUUUUCUAAAUUGUCCAUGUAACGGGGGUCCAUCGAUGACUCCCAACCAAUUAAGGUUUAGGGCAUCAAGCUUUAAGGAUCUUUCAACCACUAACUCCUCGGAUUUUACCCCGGACUUUUGAGAAUGAAAUUUUAAUACCCAAGCACCUACAGUAUGUUAAACUCCACCUAUCCACCCUUGUAACGAGCAUUGAGGUCGGUGACUCCCAACCAAUGAAGGCUUAGGGCACCAGGUUUUAAAGAUUUUCACCAUAUACCUCUCAGACCUUACUCGGGUUUCAAGGCAAGCAAACAUUUUUUCUUUCUUUCUUUCUUUUUUCAAAGACUCAUUGGCCUUUUAUAAGGUGUCCUAACACUAUUAAAUGAGGUCAAAGGUACCAAGUCUAAAUUUUCCUAAGUCAAGAGGGAAAUGGUUUUUUAUUUUAUACUCGGAACCUAUUAUGCAUAGUGUGUGAUAGCUUAAAGUGGAAGAACUGAGGUUGAAUUCAAUAGAAGUUUCAACAAUUCAUCAACUUUAGUAAGCAUAAUACAAAAUCUAAGUCAAGUAAAAAGACAAAAAUUCAGUUUCUCCCAUUUCAUUUUUGAGAAUUUUUCCUUAAUGACCAUGGAGAGUAGAAUAAAAACUUAAAAAAUUUUAAAAUUAAGCAAAAAGCAACUAAAUUACCAAAAUAACUUAGCAUUAAUAACAAAAACUUCCUUCCUCAACUCUCCCUCCAACCAAGCUGAACAUUGUCCUCAAUGUGUUAAAGGCGAUUGAAAAAUAGGGAGGAAGUGGUACCUCCUGAAUGACGUGGAGUGAUGCUUAGUUGCCUCUCCUGUAGGAGGCUCCUGAUGAGGCAUAGGCUUAUCAACAAAAGGAGGGGCAUGUGAUGGCUCUGAUGAGCUGGGAAUGGCAUGCUCAGGAGCUGAUGUAAUGCCGAGAUGAUGCUGGAUCUGCCUUAGGAUGGCAGUGUGCUGGGCCUGAGCUCCUGAUUUUACAAUUAACAAAAUUUAAGACCAAAUUUACGAUCAAAUAAUUUACAAAACUAAAAAAAAUUAUAACAUAUUUAACGAAAUUAUGGACUUUGGUGAAACCAAGUCCAUCUAACCCUUCUCUGAUCAGGCUUUUUGUGGCUCAAGGAGGUUGAUUUCCUUCUUUUUUGGCUUGAACGGCUCAAUGAAUGGCUUGAGGCGAUGACCAUUGACUCUAAAGGUGUCUAUGCCAUUGGAAUUUAGUAAUUCCACCACUCCAUUGAGAUGUACUUGGUGAAUAAUGAAAUGACCUAUCCAUCUUGACUUGAGCUUCCCUGGAAAUAUAUGGAGCCUUGAGUCAUAGAGUAGGACUCUUUGUCCGUUCCGCAAUUCUUUGUUGGAGAUUAGUUGAUCAUGCCACUUCUUCAUCCUCUAUUUUGCAACUUUGGAAUUGAUGUAAGCAUCAUUUCUUAAUUCCUCCAUCUCAUUAAAGUCUAAGCACCUCUUUGCUCCAGCUCUGAUCAAGUCCAUGUUCAACCUCUUGAUUGCCCACCAAGCCUUAUAUUCAACUUCCAUAGGGAGGUGGCAUGCUUUGCCAUAGACAAGACGAUAGGGGGACAUGCCAAGAAUAGUCUUAUAAGUUGUUAUAUAUGCCCAUAAUGAAUCAUGUAGCUUAAUAGACCAAUCUUUUCUGCUUGUAAUCACCACUUUCAUCAGUAUGUUUUUUAUUUCCCUGUUUGCUAGCUCCACUUGCCCGGAAGUUUGAGGAUGAUAAGGUGUAACUACCUUAUGCUUCACUCCAUACUUGGCUAAUAGGGUUUCAAAAGGUUUGUUGCAAAAAUGAGUACCUCCAUCACUGAUUAUGGCCUUGGGCACCCCAAAUCUUGAGAAGAUGUUCUCCUUAAGAAAUUUGAGAACCACCCUGUGAUCAUUAUGUUUACAGGGGAUUGCCUCCACCCAUUUGGAAACAUAGUCCACCCCCACCAAUAUAUAAGAGUUACCAAAAGACAUUGGGAAAGGUCCCAUGAAGUUAAUACCCCAAACAUCAAAAAGAUCAACUAUAAGGAUGGGGUUCAUGGGCAUUUGGUUUCUUUUUGUAAGCUUUCCGAGUCUUUGGCAUCUAUCACAACUCCUACACAUGAUGUGGGAAUCUUUGAAAAGCGAUGGCCAAGUAAACCUUGAUUGCAAGACCUUCAUGGCUAUUUUCUGAGAAGCAAAGUGGCCUCCAUAGGCAUUCUCAUGGCAAUGGCUGAGGAUUCCUUGUUGCUCUUCUUCAGGGACACACUUCCGUAUUAUUUGAUCUGCACAAUACUUGAAAAGGAAAGGUUCCUCCCAAUAAUAAGCAUGAAUUUUUGCAAAGAAGUGCUUCCUGUCUUGCGCAUUCCACUCACUUGGAACUUCACCAGUAACCAAAUAGUUAGCAAUAUGAGCAUACCAAGGAGCUUUCUCUAGCAACAUAAGUGAUUCCUCAGGAAAGUCAUCAUUAAUAGGUAAGACAUGGAAAUUGUGCGUUAUAGCCAACCUUGACAGGUGGUCAGCUACCACAUUCUCCACUCCUUUCUUAUCUCGGAUUUGGAGAUCGAACUCUUGUAACAAAAGAAUCCAUCUAAUCAACCUUGCUUUUGCAUCUUGCUUUGUCAAUAAAUACUUCAAGGUCGAAUGGUCAGUGAAAACAAUGAUGAAAGACCCUACUAGAUAAGCACGAAACUUGUCUAAGGCAAACACCACAGCUAACAAUUCUUUCUCUGUAGUUGUGUAGUUCUUUUGAGCUUCGUUCAAUGUUUUGCUUGCAUAGUAGAUCACGUAGGGCUUCCCAUCUUCUCUUUGGCCAAGUACAACUCCUAUAGCAAAGUCACUGGCAUCACACAUCAUUUCAAGGGUAGUUGCCAGUUAAGAGCCCUUACUAUUGGAGUGGUUGUAAAAAAUUGCUUCAAUUGAUCAAAACUCUUUUGACAUCUCUCAUCCCAGACAAACUUAGCGUCCUUAGCUAAAAGUUCACAAAGAGGCCUUGAAAGCUUAGAGAAGUCUUAUAUAAAUCUCUUGUAGAACCCUGCAUGGCCAAGAAAUUGCCUUACUCCUUUCACAGUUGUUGGGGACGGCAAUUUGACAAUAAGUUCCACCUUUGCUUUAUCAACUUCAAUGCCUUUCUCGGAGAUGAUAUGGCCAAGGACAAUUCCUUGACGUACCAUAAAAUGGCAUUUCUCCCAGUUGAGCACCAAGUCCUUCUCAAUGCAUCUAUUAAGAACCGCUUCCAAAUUGACUAAGCAUUCCUCAAAUGUACCUCCAUAUACGGUGAUGUCAUCCAUGAAAACCUCCAUAAUUCUCUCCACCAUAUCACUGAAGAUACUCAACAUACAUCUUUGGAAUGUUGCAAGUGCAUUGCAUAAACCAAAAGGCAUUCUUCUGUAGGCGUAUGUUCCAAACGGACAUGUGAAAGUGGUCUUCCCCUGAUCUUCAACAUCAAUUUCAAUUUGGAAAUACCCUGAGUACCCGUCCAAGAAACAAUAAAAAGGAUGGCCAGAGACUCUCUCCAGUACCUGAUCAAUAAACGGGAGUGGAAAAUGAUCUUUCCUUGUCACAGCAUUCAACUUUCUAUAAUCAAUACACACCCUCCAACCUAAAGUGAGGCGUGUAGCAAUUUCUUCUCCUUUUUCAUUUUGAACCACAGUAAUCCCUGACUUCUUUGGUACCACUUGAGUAGGACUCACCCAAGGGCUGUCAGAUAUGGGAUAAAUAAUACCUGCUUGAAGUAGCUUAAGCACUUCAGCUCGCACCACCUCUUGCAAAUGAGGAUUCAAUCUUCUUUGAGGUUGACGAAUUGGUUUAGCUUCUUCCUCUAUGUAUAUAUGAUGUGUACAAACCAAAGGACUAAUGCCUUUCAAGUCAGAUAUUUGUCAUCCUAUUGCUUUCUUGCACCUCUUGAGAACUUCAAGUAAACACUUCUCCUGAUGACUAGUAAGAGAUGAAGAUAUAACAACAGGACAUUGAUUAUUUUCUUCAAGGUAUGUAUAUUUCAGCUCCACGGGCAGAGGCUUCAAAUUGAGCUUUGGGGUCUCUUCUUCAGCAGCUUCUCCUUCCUCUUUAUUCAACAAAGGUAGAAUAUCUUCUCUCUUCCUCCAACCUUGUAGAGUAGCAAGCACAUCAGGGGGUUCAGACAACCCUUCUUCAAGAUCCCCAAGACUUUCAUUCAGCUUGUCAUGCAUAUUCUGAUUACAGUGCUCCUCCACUAGAGUGUCAAUAAUGCAUACCUCUUUUGGACCUUCUUCUUCUUCCAGAGUGAUUUGCUUUUUAGACAUAUAAAAAAUGUUGAGCUCAAGUGUCAUGUUGCCAAAAGUGAGUUGCAUGAGUCCAUUCCUACAAUUGAUGAUUGCAUUUGAGGUAGCAAGGAAUGGCCUUCCAAGGAUGAUAGGAACUGAAUUAGCUUCCUUUACAGUAAGAUCCGUAUCAAGAAUAACAAAAUCUACCGAAUAGUAGAAAUUAUCAACUUAAACUAAGACAUCCUCACCCCCCUUGGAAUUUUUACUGAUCUAUCUGCUAGAGAUAGGGUGAUUGAUGUUGGCUUCAACUCACCAAGACCCAAUUGCUUAUAGAUAGAGUAUGGUAGCAAAUUCACACUUGCUCCCAAGUCUAACAAAGCUUUCUCCACUACCUUUCUUCCAAUCAUGACUGAAAUGGUAGGACAUACCGGAUCUUUGUACUUCAAAGGAGACUUGCAUUGUAUGAUUGCACUUACUUGCUCAAUCAAGAAGGCUUUCUUGUUCACAUUCAACCCUCUUUUGAUAAUACACAAGUCCUUUAGGAAUUUUGCAUACGUUGGAACUUGUUUAAUCAUAUCCAGCAGUGGGAUAUUGACUUUUACUUGUCUCAAUACUUCAAGAAUUUCAGAUACAUUUCUAAUCCCCCUUUUUCCCAUGCAACACUUGAGGAAAAGGUGGAGAAGUUGGUUUCUUCAUCAAUUCUUCCUUAAUAAGCUCUUUUUCCGUAUUUGCAUUCACUGUUAAACCAUGGUCCUCCUCCAUUUCACUAACAUCUUUCUUCUUUCCUUUCAUUUCCUCCCCCUUCUUUGUUUCUUCUUCUUCUUCAACAUGUGGCUUGGGUGUUGGCUUCUCAAUUUUUUUACCACUCCUUAGAGUGAUCAAGGCUUUAACAUCUUUCACCUGUGACGAUUCUCCCUCAUAGAUUUCCACUUCAUGGAUACCCUUGGGGUUUUGGUGAGGUUGAGAAGGAAAUCUACCCUUCUCUUGCACUGUGUUCAAGUUAGUGAGCCUUGAGAUUGAGUAUUAGAGAUUAUCUAUCUUUUGAGAUAGAUUAUUUUGCAUUCCAUCAUCCUUUAAUUCAAAGUACUCUUUGCACUGUCAAUUCUUUGACUGAGUUGAGCAUUGAUGGUUUUUUGGUCUCCAACAAAAUCUCCCAGUUGAGCAUUGAUGGCUUUUUGGUCUCCAACAAAAUCUCCCACAACCUUGCUCAGAUUCACUAUUACUUGUUCAAGACUUGAAGAUUGUUGAGAUGGUUGAGCCGGUUGUUGGUACUGAGGUGCUCUUGCCUUCCAUGAGAAAUUUGGAUGAUUCCUCCAACUUGAGUUGUAAGUAUUCCCAUACGGUGCAUUGUUAUUGGGCUUGAAUUGUCCAACAGCAUUUGCUUGAUCUCCAACCAUUUCCCUUACAGUUGGAAUUGUAGGGCACUCCUCCAUCAAGUGUUCAUAAGAUUGACAAAUAGGACACAUAUUUACUUGCACUGGUGUUUCAGCAACAGCUUGCACUUCAUGCAUCUUUUUCAGUUCUAGCUCCUCCAAUCUUCUUGUCAUGGUCGCAAAUUUUGCUUUCAUAUCAUCAUCUUCAUUCAAGGUAUACAUCCCAGCCUUAGCAUUGAAAGCACUAAGGUUAAGACUUCAUCUUUCCCACUUCUCCUUUGUUUGGUUUAUCCCAUCCCCUUGAAACUUCACCCACAUAACUCAAGAAAUCCAUAGCUUCCUCAGGAUUCUUACUCAUGAAAUCCCCUCCACACAUUGUUUCGAGGAGUUGCUUCAUUGAGGAAGACAUCCCAUCAUAAAAAUAGCUCACCAAUAGCCAAGUAUCAAAACCAUGGUAAGGACAAGCAUUUAUGGCUUCCAUAUAUCUUUCCCAACACUCAUAGAAUUUCUCAUUCUCUUUAGCUGAGAAGUUUGAAAUUUGCCUUUUCAAGUCAUUUGUUCUGUGAGUGGGAAAAAAUUUCUUGAGGAAUUCAGCUUGUAAGUCGGUCUAAGUACGGAUACUCCUUGGCCUUAAAGAAUUAAGCCAAAUCUUGGCCUAAUCCUUUAAAGUAAAAGGAAAUAGUUUAAGCCUCAUCAGCUCGAUAGAAGCUCCUCCCUCUCGGAAUGUAUUACAAACAUCUUCAAAUUCCUUGAUAUGGGCAUAGGGAUUCUCACUUUCCAUUCCAUGGAAAGUUGAUAGAAGUGGCACAAUAUGGGGUCUGAUCACUAGCUGCUCUAUAGGGGGCACUAUACAUGAUGGUGCACUCAUACGAGGUGGAUGCAUCCGGUUCCUCAUUGAUAUGUAAGCAUUGGGAUUGUCUUAGUGACCAUGGUGACUAUGCUGAUCUUCAGGUGUAUUUUCCAUGAUAUUCAAGGUCAAUUCCAACUCCUUGGUAUGAGGUGUUUCAAGUUUAACAAGCCUUCCUCCACUAUCUCGUAUCCAAUUUGGCAUACACAACUAGUAUCAACUAUAACUAAAAUGAAAAUAAAAGAAAACAAAAGAAAACAAAAGAAAACAAGGCUACCAAAAAAAAAAACUAAAAUGAACUAAACUAAAUUUAAAAGAUAUAUUAGAUUAUGAACAAGUAAAGAUACAAUAAAUAUAAAAAAAUAAGAAUUAGUAAAAUGAAAGAAAAGUUACCAAACUUGUGAUGAAAAUCACAAGUACUCUGAAAUAAUAUCACUAUGAAGUUGGCACCUUCCUUGGCAACGACGCCAUUUGAUUCGUGCCCAAUUGGUGUAUCAGCUGAUUCAUGUCCAGCUGGUGCUCCUUGAUUGAGCGAGUAAUCAACAAAAUUUAUAACCUAUUACACCAUGAACUAGGGUAGCAAAGACAAAGCUACUAUAGCAUAGUGGCUCUAGGAUCGUUCACUGGGAAGGGUUUUCAAUUCAUAAAUGAUACCAAUUCAAAGAUGAAUUGGUGCCUUUUCAUUUCAAGGUUAGCUUAAGAAAUAAAACACAAACUUUGAUUGAAAAAGGUUUAGGUUGAAGCUAACGGCAAAGGAAGUAAUGGAAAUUACUUAUGAAGAAAAACAUUCCUUGGAGGUUUAGGUUCACAGGGGAGGUUCCUCAUGCAAAAACAGAGCUCCGGUCAUUUGGUUCAUUUCCUCGCAUUAGAGAAUUAACAUAUAGUCAAUUCUCUAAUCGGUGUUGUACAGAUGCAUCCUUUAAAUGGAUUUCAGCUCUAAUUCCCUCUCAUUGAUGCAACUUGUAAUGGCUCGUACUUCUCACCUAGCAUUUGCCAUUCAAGGUGAUCUUUAACUUUGGACUUCCCUUCUCAAGCUCGCAAGAGAUAACUAAUGUAUGUCUCCUUGGAGUCCAAAAGCUUACCAAGUGUUGGCAAUUCUAGAAAAUCCUAUCUUCAAGUCACUUCCCAAAAGCUCGCAAGAGGUAAACUAGUGCAUCUCCAUGGACGGAGAUCACUUGCCUUACCAAGUGUUGGCUCAAGUGAAUUGAUGGUGUUUUAAGUUAACUAAAAACAUAGAAAUCAUUAAAGGAUCACACUUUCUCUUCAUUAAUGGCUGAAACCACAAAGCUACUAAUUCUUGCACUUGGAACCUUUCCCGGCAACCUUAACUCCAAGGAACUAAAAGUCUAGCCACUCAUUCUCUGAGGAAACAUCCUCAGAGCUUGUUUGGCUAGUAAGACAAUACAAUAAAAAAUGAGAAGGUAAAGUAGAGCAAAGCUCUGUAUUUUUCUUCCUUUGAAAACUAUACAAAAGAUGCGUCGUCUCCCUGAGAACAGGCUCCCGAGAGAUAUUUAUAUGAAAUUACAAUAAUAAUAUAUAUAAGGUUAUUCAACCUUUUUCCAAACUUAAUAACUAAGGAAUCCUAUAAUUGGUGAGUUACAAGGAGAGUUUGGCGAUUUAAACAUCAAAUAUCUAAAGCAAAAUAUCUUAAAAUGUCGGUCGCACAUAUCGGGAAGUUUCAGGAGAACACCGCGGCACUGUGCAAAAUGGCUGCGAAACUCUCCAGGUAAGCGCUAUCAGCGGAUCCGGAUAUGUCUGAUCGGGGAAGUUGAAACGCCCUCCUCUCCCAUCCGGCGUCAGGCGCCGGAUGUGAAAUAUCCGGAUGGAAUGACGGCGGAGAAGAGUUCCAGAUGUGAGACAUCUGGGUGGAAUGUCGGCGAAGCAGAAUUUCGGAUGUAAGACAUCCGAGUGGAAUGUCGGCGGAGCAACUCCAUUCGGAUUCCCCAAGAGGACACAUGGCGCGCUCCCCUAUCCGGACUCCCUCAAGGAGAAGCACACGACACUCGCGAUCAUCACACCCGGACGAUAGCAUAUCCUAUCCGAAUAUGUUGUCCGGAUGAAAAAGACAGCCUGUCACAGCUUACGUUCUGCCGCCCUCCGAUGGUGUAUCCGGACGCUUUGUCCCUUGCCAUGGAUUCCAAAGAACUCUCCUCAAUCUCGGAUUGCUUUGGUGAUCAAAAAGCUAUCAAAACACCAAAACUUAACACAAUUUGAUUAGAAUUGAUUGCAAGGGUCCUUAAUAUGUUAAUUGGGUUAAAAGGUGAUAAUUACUACUCAAAAGUGUUUAAAAGAGUUAAUUACAAGCUAUGAAAUAUCACUUUUUGAGUAGUAAUCAUUUACCUCUCGCUUUGAUUACUCUUGGGCGAGCCUUGGCGAGUGAGAGAGAUCCCUCAAAUUGGAACAAGGUAAUACAAGAUUUGAGCAAAUUUCCAGCUGAAAUUUCAGGUAUGGAAGAUGAAUUGUUUCAUAGAUUAAAAGUCAGUUAUGAUAGGUUGUCUGACGAUGUCAUCAAAUCUUGCUUUAUGUAUUGUUCCUUAUUCUCUGAAGAUUGGGAGAUUUCUAAUGAAAACCUUAUGAACUUAUGGAUAGGCGAGGGAUUUUUGGGUGAAGUUCAUGACAUACAUGAAGCAUGUAAUCAAGGGCGUAAAAUUAUUAAAAAACUAAAGCAUGCAUGUUUAUUGGAGAGUUGCGGUUCAAGAGAAAAACGGGUUAGGAUGCAUGAUGUGAUCCACGACAUGGCUUUAUGGUUAUACGGUGAAUGUGGGAAGGAAAAGAACAAAAUUUUAGUAUACAAUGAUGUUUCUAGGCUAAAUGAAGCUCAGGAAAUUCCAAAAUUGAAAGAGGCAGAGAAGAUGUCAUUAUGUGAUAAGAAUGUCGAGAAGUUCCCUGAAACAUUGGUGUGUCCCAAUCUCAAGACUUUAAUUAUCGAGGAAUGUCAUAAGUUGACGAAAUUUCCAAGUGGAUUCUUUCAAUUUAUGCCUUUGAUUAAAGUCUUAGAUUUGUCAAUUAAUGACAAUUUAAGUGAGUUACCUAUUGGGAUUGGUAAAUUGUGUGCCUUGAUAUAUCUUAAUUUUCAUACACAGGAAUAAGAGAGUUGCCUAUUGAACUAAGGAAUUUAAAAAAUUUGAUGAUUUUGCUUCUGGAUGAUAUGAAAUCCCUUUGAAGUAUUCCACAAGGUGUGAUAUCAAGCCUUAUAUCCUUAAAGUUGUUCAGCAAUUAUGCAGUCAAUAUUUUAAGUGGAGUUGAAACUAUGUUGAGGGAGUUGGAGUCCUUGAAUGGCCUUAGUGAGAUAAGGAUCACCAUUUUCAAUGCUCUUUCAUUCAACAAAUUGAAGAGCAGUCACAAGUUGUUGAGAUGCAUAAGUUAUCUACAGUUACUAAAAUGGGGGGAUGUGAUUACACUGUUAAGAUAUGGACUCACAUAUCUCACAAUAAUUCAUGACUAAGCUAUUCACUUCUUCAAUUUGUUUUCUAUUCGUUCAAGAGUAUGGGCCACCUAUGUGUAGAGCCCAAACGCCAUCACGAGCCUUAGAUAAUGGGCCUAAGACUCGUGAGGCCCAAUAGCCCAAUGGGUAUGGUUCCUAAGGCAGGAGGGUAUAAAAGGUCAAGGGUCUGUUCAUUUUGCAUGAUCACAUUUUUGAAUAGAACAGAACCCUAAUCUCUCCCGCUUCCCAUUGCCAGAGAGAAUCCAGUGAUGGUGGUUAUCCUCCUCGGCCUUAGAAGAUCCAUACAUCUUCAACCAAACUUCAGAAAUGGAUUCGGGUAUGUUCCAUGUGAAUAAAUGCAUGUUCUAAGUGAAUUCAUAAAUAUAUCCUGCAUAUGUUUUGGUGAUAAUGGAGAUUAAAGAAAUAAACUAACAUACACUUGAAAUAUCAUUUACAUUAUUGAAAAGAAUGGAGCAUUUACAUGGGCUUAUUAUAUCCCAUUGCAAUGAAUUAAAAGCCAUCAAAAUUAAUGUGGAAGGAGAAGGAACAAACAAAGAUGUUACUCUCCCAAACUACAUUAUCCCAAGCCAAGAAUAUUUUUGCACCCUUCGUGAGGUGGGUAUAGAUCAUUGUUCAAAAUUGUUGGACUUAACAUGGCUUGUUUAUGCUCUAAAUCUUGAAGUACUCUACAUUAAAGAUUGUGAAUCAAUAGAACAAGUGAUACAUUAUGGAGUAGAGGAAAAAUUGGAAAUAUUCCUCAGGCUCAAAUACAUCAAACUCAGCAAGCUACCAAGAUUAAAGAGCAUCUAUGGGCAUCCGUUGUUCUUACCCUCACUUGAAAUCAUCAAGGUGCGUAAAUGCGGAGCCUCCCAUUCGAUUCCACCACUUCAAACAAAAACCUAAAGAAAAUUAAAGGAGAGAAGAGUUGAUGGAAUCAGCUGAAGCGGAAUGAUGAAACUCUCAAGCACUCUUUUACUCCAUAUUUCCAAAUCCACAAAGCUGAAGCAUAUUUAACUGAGGAGUCCGAAACUAGUGGCAUAGAUGAUAUGCAGGAGCAAUUGAUAUCAAAUUAAUUUAUAUCCGUCUUUCAGGUAUUAAUUAACUUUUAUGCUAUAUUUGAAAAAUAAUUUUUUUCCUCACUCCCAUUCUUUUGUGGAAAUUUUUACUUUACCGACAUCAAAGUGCAUCAAAGUCUCAACAUCAUAAUAACUUUCAAUGUUUGAUGUAUAUGGACUACUUCCAUAAUUUUCAACCUAAUCCUAAUAAUUUUGGUGUGGUUAUAAUUUUUUUUCUUUCUUUUUUUCAUCCUUCUAACAUUAAGCCUUCAUUUUGAUGACAAACAUAAUUAAGAAAGGGGAAAAUGUAAGAAAUCCAAAUCUAAAUCUUUUUUUUUCCUUCAUUUUCUUUUUCUUCUAUGUUUCUUCAAAUCUUUCGAUGUUUGAUCUUCUUCAUAUAGAUUGGGCUGCUUCUGUUUUUUUCUGAUUGGAGAUGUGCUGCUCCUUUUCCUUGUAUCUGGCGUUCGGGUGAGAGCUCAAUUAUGUUUGCUUGCUGGCUGGUCCGAGUUUCAGAUAUGUUUUGUCACGGUGGCAUGAGUGCUGAUUCUCAGAGCAUUGAUAUUCAUGGUGCUCAGACUGCUGGGAAAGUUGGUGUACUUAUGAUGCUUGCAGCAUCCCUUUUGUUUCUGGAUAUCAGGGAUUGGAUUCUGUGGGCUGUCUUUGGCUUUUGAUGUUGGGUGGGUUUUGUUUUGGUGAUUUGUUGAGGCUGGUGCAGUGUGGUGGGUCUGAAGCUGCUAGUACGCUGCUGCUGGAUCAAUGUCAUGUGAUAUGGGAAUGCUUUUGGGUCUUGGGGCUUCAGCAGGUUGCUUAUGUUUCCUCUACUUACAAAUGUUUUAUCACCAGAUCCUAUGUGGAGAUGGGAGGGAUUGUUUUAAUAGUGAUGGCGAGUGUGUGAUAUAAUCCUAUCAAUAUAACCACAUGCUUUGGUUCAUAUAUCAGAGCACUGCAUACUUCCUUGAGUUUGAUAUCCCGUUGCCAAUUGUGUUGUCUAUCAUGUAAAGAAGUUUUUAUGCUUGGCCUUGAACACACCCAUUAUGAAUGAAAUGUUGUGUGAAAUGUGUUUCCAAUUAUUUGAUUGUGGAGAUACUGCUAAUAUGAAAUGAAGGUACAAUGGACUUCUUCUCUUUUCACUCUUUUUAUUUU